UGGAGAGGAGACUAGAAGCAGGAACACGGCCAGAAAUGUGACUGAGCAUGACCAAAAAUGAGCAAGUAACUUACCAUCCAAUCACACACAUGCUUGUAGUACUGCAAUACUGAUCUCAAAUGUUGCAGGUACGAUAGUAUAUCCAUAUGUGCAUAGAGUGAUGUAUUUGGGAAAUUUCUGCGUCUCACCAUUAGAAGUAAGGAAAUAACCUAGUAGGGCAAGAAGUGUUUUAUAGAACGUGACUAGCCUGACAGAUAAUGGACACUUGGGUGGUAUUAGUCUGUUUACUUGUAUAUAAAAGAAAAAUUAUUAGUGGUUAUGGGAAAGUUAUGCACGUUAAAUUUACAGCAUUACUAAUUUUUGACAUUCAGUAUAUUAGUUGUAAUAAUAUUCUCUAUCAGUAAAAUUGUCAUUGUUAUAAUUGCCUCUAGUAGUUACAGUUCUCUCAGGCAAUCAAUCAUCAAUUUUCAGUGUUUUGUUUUCCUAUAGCAUUUAUGGCUCUUACAAACAGUGCUUGUUGUCUUUUUUUCUUUGCUACUGCAACAACAUACUUCUAUUUAGGUCAUGGAUCUUUUUGUGUUGAGUUAGUGCUUGCAAUUGAUUAACAUCUAUUAUUUAAUGUACUUUUUCAAUAGCCUGAGGCUGGUAUGGCCUUGUGGAGAAUAAAGGAAAAAAAGAAAACUCCAGAGUUAAGUUCAAAUAUAAAUGUAUUUUUGGUUACAUUUUAUAGCUCCCUGGCUCACAGUGUUUGUAGACAAUUGCAUUAGAUUCAUGGCAUUUCACAAAAGCUUUUAGGGCUGUUUGACAGAAAUAUGGAAGUCUGGAAGCUAUGUAAUACUGACAAACUAUUAACAGUGUUGUUAGCUAAUGGUUUAAUGUAGAAGUCUGAAUAUAAAUUAUACUAAAAAAAGUAUGUGGCAAUGUUAUUGUAGAAAAGUCCAAAUAUAUGGUACGGUCAAUGCAUGCAAAUUUGCCUAUUAUUUUUAACAAUGUUGGAAUAUGAGCGAAUAUCUGCUACAUUUGUUUUUAUCAUAGAGCAACUGAUACUGGCCAUGUUGGGAGGGUUGUCAGUAUACCUCUUAAUGUUGGGAGGUAUGAAAUAGGGGCUGUAGAGGGAUGUGCUAAUAGUCCAACAUGCACUAAUGUUGAGGUGGAAGGUGCACCAAAAAAAAAAAGGAGGGCAUUAGUUUUUUUUUUUUUAAGAUAUACAUUUUGUAGAGAGAAACUCUUGAGAGUUGUGUACAAACUGCAGAUCUGCAUUAUGUGCUCUCUGUGCUAUGCCUUUCCAUUCAUUCACAGUGUGUAGAAACAUAUGUACACUGGCAAUUUAAAGGGACACUAUAGGUCCCAACCCACUUCAGCUAACUGAAAUGGUCUGGGUACAGUGUCCAUGUUGCACUUAGUGCUGCAAUGUAAAACAUUGCAGUUUUAGAGAAACUGCAAUGUUUACAUUGCAACACUAAGGCAGCCUCGUUUGGCCGCUAACUGACACUGGAUGUCCUCACGCUCAGCGUGAGGACAUCCAGCGUCAGCUAUUUCCCCAUUGGAAAGCAUUCAUUCAAUGCUUUCCUAUAGGGAUGCCUAAUGCUAGCGCAGCACUCGCUCCGCAUGCCCAUUAGCGCCCUAUCAUCUACUGACAAUGGAGGAGGCACAACUGCAACCCAAUACCGAGGGACAUCACCACUGGGAUCAGGCAAGUAAAUAAAGGGUUUCUUAACCCUUUAUUCAUUGCGGUGGGAGGAAGGGGGUAUGAAGACGGGCACGGAGGGGGGAGGCAUAUGGAGUUAUAGUGCCAGGAAUACAGCUUUGUAUUCCUGGCACUAUAGUAUCCCUUUGAAUAUGUUUAAUGAUGUGCUUGCCCAGAAAUUUUGGUGAAUUAGGACGUGUCCAAAAUCAGAACAAUUCAAUGUAUAUGGCACUGUGGAGAUAUGCUCAACUGUUGAAGUUGACUGUGCUAUGUUGAAGUGGAAUAAAUGUGGAUUCUACAAUUAGCUACCUAAAUCCCCAGGCUAUGGAAAGGGCAUUGCCAUGUGCCAAAAAGUACUGCAUAAUUAUUUAGUGAGGGGAAAAAAAACAUAAAGCUACAUUACUGAAGAAGGAAUAAUUAAAAUAUACAUUUGAGUGUGUAGCGGAGCGCUAGUCCUGACAAGGACAUUCCCUCCACUAGAUCCGUGAAGACAGGAAUUUAGGAACAAGGCACUGAAAUGUGAAUAGCUCUAUCCCUCCCCAGUAACUGGACGAUACACAGUUCUGAGUGUACAACUGACGUAUUCAGCUCAGACACAGCUUUUUAUGCACAGACCCCCGGCAUGGGGUCUCCAUUCAAAAUAUUCACAAUCCCCUCCCAGACAUCCCUGUGUCUGUGAGAUAAUGGAGUAAAAACUGAGUAACUAAAUUAUCUCUCCGUUACAGGGAAAUACAGGAAACCUACAUAAACACCCCAAAAACAUUGUCAUAUUUUAUAGGAACCCGACAAGUCUUAUAUCCCCUAAAAGCCCGUAUUUGAGCGCCCAACAUAUCCAAAUAGCGCUCAAUACAGUUUGGUGGAACGGAAUCGCCGUUUUGGGUAAAGUUUUGACCAGCCGGCUACAAGGCGAUGGCCCAAAACCAUUCCAGAGAAAUGAGGACAAUGGCCAGUCUCCUUUCGUGGGUUCCUGUGUGAACACCAACGAAUGCUCCCCCUGGCUUUUGGGGAGCGAAUGCUCUCCCCAGCCGGUAGUUCCAAUCCAUCGAAAAACGUUUGUGUAGUUGGUUGGUAAGUGAAAUGGGCAGCGGUACCAUAUUUGCCCGGGUUUGCAAGACUGAAAAUAGUUCCAGGCAUUCGACGACCAUGUACCGCUGCCUGUGUUCGGGAGACAAAAUGGCCGCAAUUCGCUAGAGCACGUUUGUUCGGUUAUACUGACGGUGGCCACCCAGGAAAAGCACUUGAGUUAACGACUUAAUGGCGGUUAACAGCCAGGGGUGGUCGGUGUUCGGGGAUGUAUAAAAGGGGGAACCACACACCAUCCAUUCGGGAAACAAACAAGGGGGUAAGGAAAACCAAACAAAAGUGGAAUGAGUCUGCUACAGAGUGUUAAUCUAAUGAUUCACACACUUGGAGCUGAAGUACAACACACAUGUUCUAAUAGCUGGUUUUUUAUCUUGGUUCCUAAUUGGCAGAUAAUGAAUGGGAGAUUUAGUCCAGGAAGCUGGAGGGGAGAGUUUGUAGUCUGUUGCUUUAUUGGAUCGCUAGGAAAACACAAUAAAAAUGGCUAAUGGAGUUGUGAGUAAAAAAAAUAGCAACAACCAAAAACAACAAAAAUAGAAGCAGUCUAUACUAACUAUCUGUAGAGUAUAUAAACAUGCUAAUUUUAUGUACACAGCACUUCUGAAAUAUCAAUUCAAUGAAUCCUCUAUAAAGCUAGAAACUCAUAAUGAGAAAAGCUUCACAUCAAUCUUACAUAAGUCCUUAAAGCAAAAUAAAAAUAGAGAGAAAGGGCCAGAGGCUAAUAAAGUAAAAACACAAUUAUCAGUAAAAACUUGAAGCUUCUUAUGCAAACACAAUGUGAAUGCUAAUCAUGCUUUCAUAUAAACUGCAUUAGUAAAUUAGGAUAACUUCUAGCAUCACAAGCUAGCUGCAUGGCCAAUAUGAAAAAUCAAGCCUCCGGUGUUGUAAGCAGUCACUGACCACUUUGUUGCACUGCUGGAGUUAGUGUCUACCUUAGUUGUUUAGAGACUGCAUCUAGGAUCGAAAACAACCAGGUUUAUUAUUAUUUAAAGUCCCCAUCAAAAUACGACUUACAUUACUUAGGCUUUUCUUGUAAUGUUAAUUAUUGACAGCAUUGCAUUUGUGCAACAAGAAGUCCAAGAAGGUCACUGCCAAUGUUAUUUUACUAGGUAUAAGCAGAGGCAUAUCUAGAAACCACAGGGCCCCAGUGCGAAAAUUGCCCUGGGCCCCCUCCUCCUCCUGCCCCUCCAUUUUUAGAAUAUAACACAUACAGAUACAUACACGGACACACUUGCUAAUAAACAGACACACGUAAUAACACACAUUCAGAUACACCGAAUGACACUUCUACAUACACUAAAUGACACGCACAUAGAUACAAACAGUGACACACAUACAUAUACAUAGGGGCACACACUGACGCACAUGCAGAAAGAUACAGGUACAGACACAUGCAGAUACACAUACACAUACAGACACAUAGAAACAUAUCGACUUGCAUGCAGGUACAGACACACUUAAUGACAAACAUUUAGAUACACCGAAUGAUAUGCAGAAAACCAGAUACACAUACAGACACAGAACAUAUAGAUACACAGACACACAUACAGACAGAUACACAUAUAGACACGCAUGCAGAUACACAGACACACUUAAUGACAAACAUUCAGAUACACAGAAUGACAAGCAUUCAGAUAUAAACUGUGACACAUAUACAGAUACUUAGCAGCACACACUGACACAAAUGCAAACAAAUACACAUACAGGCAUAUAGAUACCCACACAGACAAACAGAUACACAUACAGAUGCACAUGCAGAUACACAGAUACACAGGCAAAGAUAGACAUAUAGACAAACAUGCAGACAAAGAGAUACACAUACAGACACAUACACACACACACACAUGCAGAUACAGACAUUAGCACACACAAAAUUUGUCACCCUCCUGUUUCCUACCUUUAGGUGCAGGAGGGUGAAUCCCCUGGGGUCCAGUGGCUGCCUAAUGCUGAUGGGAGUCAAGCUCCCACUCUGACUCCCUCCUCUUCUUCCCUCUUUGCUCUCCUCCCGCGCGGUUCUGUUAGCUGGGAGGAAGUGACUGCUUCCUCCCAGUGCUCUGACGUCAUCACUGACAUUAAGAGUGCGACCAGACCCCAGGAAAUUCAUUGCCAUCGGGUGGCCCCAAGAGCAUGGCCCACCCGAUGGGCAACCUUUAACGCAGUCCCAACGGUUGCUCCGUGCGACCGCACCACAAUGCCGGCGAACACCCCGGUCACAGGGGUCGGCAGGGCGGCCAUGCCCCCCUGAGUGACAGGUCCGGUCGCAGCUGCGACCCCUGUGGACGUGGAAGUUCCAACCACUAGGUGUAAGUAUUUAUACUCUUAGUCAGUAAUUGAGUCUCAGCAGGGAUUUAAUACGGAAUCACUGCAGGGGUUUAGCUGAAAAAAGCAAGUGGAGUUCCGUUGGGAUGUCUGUUAGCAGAGACUUGCAGGAGUGAGGCAGCUGUCUGUACUCGUAAAUGAUUUUGCCUGGCCAGCACUGUUUGGGUUUGUGUUAGGACUGGUGGCCCAGGAACUCAGUCGUAUAGGCCAGUCCAGGCCUGGAGAAGACUAUUUCCAUGAAGACUGCAGUAUCUGGGGCCAAUCUGGUUUCCAUAUUGUGAGGAGUGUGCAUGAUGUAGAGGUGUUUGCUUGUGGCUAUAGGAUGAGAUGUUUCUUUUGUUGUUAUAGAGUUCUAUUGAACAUAGUUGGGGUCUUUCAGGCUCUGAAAAUUCAAUGGAACUGCAUCGUGGGUUAUAUUUUCAAGUUGUGCCUCCAGAACAUGGACAUAUUUAUCUAGAGAGAUAACUGAUAAUACAUACGAGAGAAUAAAUAAAGAGUAAUUUAUGAGGGAUGAUUUCUGGUUGAAUACAAUUUUUACUAAGGCAGUAGCAUGUGUCAAGUUGAAUGUAAAAGAUUUUAGGAAAAAUGAAGCAAAAAUAAAUCAUAGCCUUUUAUUGUGGUCAGCCUAAGGCAGUCAUGUGCAAUAAUCAUGCUGUGUAAUCAGCAUCUUGAUAUGCCACACCUGUGAGGUGGAUGGAUUAUCUCGGCAAAGAAGUGCUCACUAACAGAUUUAGACAGAUUUGGGAACAAUAUUUGAGAGAAAGGGGCCUUUUGUGUACAUAGAAAAAGUCUUAGAUCUUUGAGUUCAGCUCAUGAAAAAUGGGGGCAAAAACAAAAGUGUUGCGUUUAUAAUUUUGUUCAGUGUACGUUUUUUGUUUUUUUUGUGUGUGUUCACUUUGACUUGAUUACGUUUUUCGUUUUUAUUGUUGAUUUUGUUUUUUGUUUUCAUCAUAUUUUAUGUUUUAGAUUUGUUUUUUGCUCAUUCAGGCUACAUUCUUUUUUUUCCUUGUAUUAUAGUGCUAUCUAGAAUCCUUGCUUAUCUUCUGUUUAAGGCAGGCAGACUAGGCCAUUUUUGCUGUUAUCAAUUGUCAGUAUCCACAUUUCUGAAACACUAGAUGUCGUUAGUUGCCCUGGUGACAUGAAUAAUGCAAUCUGAUUUGACGCAUUACAGUCCAAAAUGACACUGCCGGCACAGAAAAUUGUCUUCUUUUGAAAAUAGCUAUAUGCAUAUUUCCCAGUUGGAUUUUUGUAAAUCCACUGGGAAGGUAAACUCCGUAAUUUCCGAGAAAGAAGCAAUAGAAAAUCUAUAAAGUUUAAAACUGCCAAUAAGCCUUUUAGGGAAAUGUACACUCUUUGGAGUUCUAUUUCUUUUAUCCUGAAUAUUCCAUUUGUAGCUGUGAAAUCCAUUCUCAAAGCUAUUAGGAGAGGAGCCUAAUCUUGACAUUUCUAACUUCGGUCAAAGUUAAUUUUAUUUAGUGAAAUGUCCGUUUGUAAACUGCAUACUGAUAUUACUCCAUUAAGGAGUAUCCAUCAAACAAUAUAAUGAAAACCAAAAGCCUUUUACUGCUUUAGAAAGUAUAGUUACUUUUAUUAGGUGUGUCGGAAAUCAAGUUUAUUCCUUUGGGGUUUCCAGUUCAGAACUCAAUGCCUAUACUUUUGAGCAUUAUAGAGAAAGUUAAGUGUUAAGAUGGUUUCUGUAUCUGAGUAUGUGGCCCCAGUCACAUAUGCAUACCUCCCAACUCCAGAUCCAUAGAACUGGGUCAGUGGUGGGUAGAGGGGAUGGACCAGUGAUGCGAUCAGGUCACUGGCUCUGCCUAAAAAGGGAUUGGAUCCAUUCCCUUUACUGGCAGUUCAGUCUGCCGUGAAUACAUGCCAGACUGCCAUUCUAUCUUUUGAGCCAGCUUACUGAGGACAGAUGCUGCACGUAGCACCAUUCCUAGAGCUUUGAACAUGGCGUGCGUGCAUGUAAUGAUGUGCUCACGCUAUGAUUGUUUGGAAAUGUUCCCUGGCUUUGGUACGGCAUGUCAGUACCCAAAAUAAUUACUGUCCCCAGGGCCACCACCAGAAAUUUUGGGGCCCCUGACACAGCACAUAGUCUGGGCCCCCUCCCGCCCGGCCCGCCUACGAGUCCGCCCACAGGACUCCUACCUAGUCCGCUGCAAAUGAUGCAGGACUGAAUGUGGUGUGUAUAGUGGAAGUGAAUUAGAAUGUGUGUAAUGGAUGUAGUGUUUGUGUGUAUUAGAUACUGUUUGUGCAGUGAAUGCAGAGUGUGUGUUUGUGUAGCGGAUGCAGUGUGUAUAGUGAAUGCAGAGUGUGUUUGAGUAGUGGAUGUAGUGUGUGUUUGUGUAGUGGACUAGAUGCAAUGUGUUUAGUGGAUGCAGUGUCUGUAGUGGAUGUAGUGUGUGUAUUAGAUGCAGUGUCUCUGUAUAGUGAAUGCAGAGUGUUUGAAUGUGUGGUGGAUGUAGAGUGUGUACUGUGAAUACUGGAUGUUUGUUUAGUGGAUGAUGUGUGUGUCAGUGUAGUGGAUGCACAGUGUGUGUCAGUGUAGUGGAUGCAGAGUGUGUGUCAGUGUAGUGAAUGCAGAGUGUGUGUCAGUGUAGUGAAUGCAGUGUGUGUGUUAGUGUAGUGUAUGCAGAGUGUGUGUGUGUGUUAGUGUAGUGUAUGCAGAGUGUGUGUGUUAGUGUAGUGAAUGCAGUGUGUGUUAGUGUAGUGAAUGCAGUGUGUGUGUUAGUGUAGUGUAUGCAGUGUGUGUGUUAGUGUAAUGAUUGUCGUGUGUGUGUUAGUGUAAUCAAUGCAGAGUGUUAGUGUAAUCAAUGCAGAGUGUUAGUGUAAUGAAUGCCGAGCGUCUGUAAGUGUAAUGAUUGCAGUGUGUGUGUUAGUGUAAUGUAUGCAGUGUGUGUUAGUGUAGUGAAUGCAGAGAGUGUGUUAGUGUGUAGUGAAUGCAGAGUGUCUGUUAGUGUAAUGAUUGCAGUGUGUGUGUUAGUGUAGUGUCUGUAGAGUGUGUUAGUGUAGUGAAUGCAGUGUGUGUGUUAGUGUAGUGAAUGCAGAGUGUGUGUUAUUGUAGUGGAUGCAGUGUGUGUGUUUGUGUAGCGGAUGCAGUGUGUAUAGUGAAUGCAGAGUGUGUUUGAGUAGUGGAUGUAGUGUGUGUUUGUGUGUACUAGAUGCAAUGUGUUUAGUGGAUGCAGUGUCUGUAGUGGAUGUAGUGUGUGUAUUAGAUGCAGUGUCUCUGUAUAGUGAAUGCAGAGUGUUUGAAUGUGUGGUGGAUGUAGAGUGUGUACUGUGAAUACUGGAUGUUUGUUUAGUGGAUGAUGUGUGUGUCAGUGUAGUGGAUGCACAGUGUGUGUCAGUGUAGUGGAUGCACAGGUAAGGCCGUGCAGUGGACGGUGCGCAGCAGUAACGAACGCAGAGUGCGCGUCAGCGUGAAGUGGAAUGCAGCCGCAGUGUUAAAGUGUGGUGCGAAUGCUGCGUGUGCGUGUUAGCAGAAAGUGUAUGCAGAGUGUGUGUGUGUGUGUUAGUGUAGUGAAUGCAGUGUGUGUUAGUGUAGUGAAUGCAGUGUGUGUUAGUGUAGUGUAUGCAGUGUGUGUGUUAGUGUAAUGAUUGCCGUGUGUGUGUUAGUGUAGUGUAUGCAGUGUGUUAGUGUAAUCAAUGCAGAGUGUUAGUGUAAUGAAUGCAGAGCGUCUGUAAGUGUAAUGAUUGCAGUGUGUGUGUUAGUGUAAUGUAUGCAGUGUGUGUUAGUGUAGUGAAUGCAGAGAGUGUGUUAGUGUGUAGUGAAUGCAGAGUGUCUGUUAGUGUAAUGAUUGCAGUGUGUGUGUUAGUGUAGUGUCUGUAGAGUGUGUGUUAGUGUAGUGAAUGCAGUGUGUGUGUUAGUGUAGUGAAUGCAGUGUGUGUGUUAGUGUAGUGAAUGCAGUGUGUGUGUUAGUGUAGUGAAUGCAGAGUGUGUGUUAUUGUAGUGGAUGCAGUGUGUUAGUGUAGUGAAUGCAGUGUGUGUGUUAGUGUAGUGAAUGCCGAGUGUGUGUCAGUGUAGUGGAUGCAGUGGGUGUGUCAGUGUAGUGGAUGCAGUGGGUGUGUCAGUGUAGUGGAUGCAGUGGGUGUGUCAGUGUAGUGGAUGCAGUGGGUGUGUCAGUGAAGUGAAUGCAGUGUGUGUGUGUGUGUUAGUGUAUUGGAUUGCAGUGUGUGUGUUAGUGUAGUGGAUUGUAGUGUGUGUGUGUUAGUGUAGUGUAUGCAUAAUGUGUGUUAGUGUAAAGAUUGCCGUGUGUGUGUUAGUGUAAUGAAUGCAGAGCGUCUGUAAGUGUAAUGAUUGCAGAGUGUGUGUUAGUGUAAUGAUUGCAGAGUGUGUGUUAGUGUAGUGAAUGCAGAGUGUCUGUUAGUGUGUAGUGAAUGCAGAGUGUCUGUUAGUGUAAUGAUUGCAGUGUGUGUGUUAGUGUAGUGUCUGUAGAGUGUGUGUUAGUGUAGUGAAUGCAGUGUGUGGGUUAGUGUAGUGAAUGCCAAGUGUGUGUGUCAGUGUAGUGAAUGCAGUGUGUGUGUGUUAGCGUAGUGGAUUGCAGUGUGUGUGUCAGUGUAGUGAAUGCAGAGUGUGUGUCAGUGUAGUGAAUGCAGAGUGUGUGUCAGCGUAGUGUAUGCAUGCAGUGUAAUUGGAGCAUUCCAAAAAUGUUAUUCCCCCCUCCCUGUUUCUUACCUGGUUCAGGGAGGGGAAAGAUACCAUGAUCCCUGGUGGUCCGGUGGCAUUGUGGGGCCCCCCGGCUCCUUGUACUUGCAGAGGGGGCCCAGCGGACUGCAAGUGUACUUACAAGCUCUUCCCUCUCUGUAACUCCCGCGAGCACGGCAUUACCAUGGGUUACCAUGGCAACGCUCUGGCGGCCGUGGGUAUCGCGGGAGUUAGAGAGAGGGAAGAGCUUGUAAGGCUGCACCUGAACUGCAAAUAUAUAUAGCGAUCAUCGCUAUAUAUAUAUAUAUAUAUAUAUAUAUAUAUAUAUAUAUAUGUGUGCAGAGAGUAAUUGUGGGCCCUGGACGGCCAAAGCAGUCCGGGCCCCCAAGUACCGCCGGGUCCGUGACAACUGUCAUGGUUGUCACCCCGUGAUGGCGUCCUUGACUGUCCCACCAGAAUCGUGACAGUUGGGAGGCAUGUAUAUGUCUUGGUAGCACAGGUAUCUCCUGCUUAUCGCUCAUAGAGAUGUGCCUUGUCUUGCAUUGUCCUCCACACAUUUAAAGGGUUACUCUAGAAACCAUGAUCAUGUCAGUGCUUUGAAGUGGUCAUGGUGCAAAGAGUCUGUGUGUGCAACGUUUUAGUAUAAAACCUAUAGAUUUCAUAUAGCUGCCAGUGUUGUAAGUCCACCUCCUGGCAGCAUCGUUACCAAGCCCAGAUUAGAGGUCUGGCCUGGUCAGUGGGCAUUCUGUGCAUAAAAUACAUCUGUCAUCAUCACACAGAGCAUGCCAGUGAAAAAAGUCUCCAUCUUGCCAAAGUGAAUCACCUGGUAUAAAAGUAUAAAACUAAAUAGUGGAUCUAAAUUUGCUUAAAAUCUUAUUGAGGUGUAAUUUAUUGUCUUAUUGUCAUAAGAGUUAUACAUUUGGUUGCAGACGGGACUGCCAUUUUUUCAUAAAAUAGAUUGUGUCAUGUUUCCCACGUGUCAUAUUUGAAGUAUUUCUUGGAGGUUGCGUAAACAGCUCAUUUUGUCCCUCUUUGCUAAUCCAAUAAUAAACCAUCAGCAAGCAUUGCAAAGGUAUCUUUCAGAAGUCUUUGCACAAAGAGUUUAUUACCCCCUCAGCCCAAUAAAGAUAGAGGUGCGGUUUGACAGAUUUAAUGUGAGUGAUCUGAAGUGUAUGAUACUGACUGUCAUAUAUCUUAUCUCUGAAAAUAAGAAAAUAACAGCUAGUUAUCUGAAUUUGAAUGGUUCUAGUGUGAAGUUAAAGCUGCACUUUCAUGCCGAACUUACCUUUCCACAAUCAAUUCAUCUUCUCUCCCACUCUCAGGAUCUGUUCUUCUUUUCUUAUUGUCUGCUCGAGGGGCUACUUUGGUUUUAUGUAUUUUUCCUAUGCUUGACCCGCUCUGACCCACUUCCUGUGGGUCAGAGACAUUUUCCCACAAUACCCUUUCCUCCGUGCUCUCGCGAUGCCUGCUUUCACUAUUCCAGAACGUCCUGUCAUUUAGUAGCCAUCGAAACUAACAAAUUUCAUCCUAACAGAAUGAGAAUAGUUUGUUCAUUCAUGUUAGGAGAACAUUCGUUACUUUUAGUUCAGUUUGAAAUUUCAUUAGAAUGAAAGAAAUUACGAUCCGUGCUGCGGCUGCAUCUGGCUAAUUCCCACAGUAUCAGGGAGCUAUCUACCAAACGGCUGAAAGACCUGAAUUGCUCUUUCAGCCAACUUUACUAAUACUAAGUAAAAAUUACUUAGUAUUAGUAAUUAAUUUGCCCCUACUCGCUAUGCAGCAAGUAGGGGCAUGUCUACUAAACAAUGAGUGGCAGGUGGGGGCCCUAAAAGGCAAUGGGGGGAGGACCUCUUUUUCUCCUCCCUUGCCCCCACCCAUGAGUGGUGGGUGGGUGCCCUAAAUGACAAUGGGGGGGAGGACCUUUUGUUCUCCCCUCUGGCCCCCACCCAUGAGCGGCGGGUUGGGGCACUAAAUUUCAAUGAGGGGGGACCUGAGAGAGAUUGACAAUCUUGAGAGGAGUCUGCUGCUCACUGAGCAGAGUUUAGUGGGGACAAGUAGUGGAGUGGGAUUAGAUGAGACAGUUGGUGAACAGGCACAUCACUGGGUAACGGGGGGGGGGAGGGAAAAGGAAAGGUUUAGCUAGUCCUGAUCUUGUGCAGCCUAACAGAUUUCCCCGUUUGAGUGAAGAUGUUGAGAGCAUCAGCUCAGGAGUAGCUGUACUGCAGGAAGCUGUUCCUUCUAACAAUCAUGGGUACAGCCCCUCUAGUACGGGUAGGGAUGAGAGUGCAAGGAAGGCUAGACAGGUUGUGGUGGUAGGGGACUCUAUUAUUAACCCCUUAAGGGCGGCGGGCGAUCGUGGUGGGAGGACUCAUCUGGCAUCCCAGGGAGUCCCCCUGCCACCAGUCUGGCCCUCCUGUGCCAUGUGAAAGCGAGAUCGCCAAAACUGUCGUUCAUAUGGGUUUUUGGCAUUUUUCACACACAAACAAAUAUUAACGCUAACUUUGACUAGUGUUUGUGACCAAGUGGCUACUAAAAAAGACUUGACAAGACUGGACAUACCCCCAUUUGCAAUACCUUGAGUUGUCUACUAUUGCAAAUGGUAUGCCAUCAUGGGGGUAAUUCUCAUUCAUGGGCUACCAUACAGUCUCAAAGGCAACGUAACCAAUCUGGCGAAUUUCAAUGUGAAAAAAACUGAAAAAUUUAACAUGCUAUAUUUGACCCUGUAACUUUCCAAAACACCAUAAAACCUGUACAUAGGGGGUACUGUUUUACACGUGAAACAUUGCUGAAUAGAAAUGUGUAUUUUAAAAGCAAGCAGUAUUAUGACAUUCACAGUUAAAAUGUCACGUAGAACUAAACAAAUUUUAAAAAAUUCUUAUUUUCUUUUUUUAUAUUUAUUCAUAUUAAAUUAUGUUUCAUAGCUAAAUAUUUGAUGUUAAAUGAAAGCCCUGUUUUCCCUGAAUAAAAUGAAAUAUAAUAAGUGUGGGUGCAUUUAAUAUGAAAGGUGAAUUACGGUUGGACAGACAUAUAGCGCAAAUGCCAGGUUUUCUUUACGUUUUGUUUUCAUCACAACAUGUACAUUUGGCUCAGUCCUUAAGGGGUUAAGAAAGUAGAUAGGGUAAUCUGCCACUCUGAUCAUCUCAACCGUACAGCUUGCUGUCUCCCGGGUGCUCGGGUCCGACUUGUUGCUGACAGAGUUGAGGGAUUAUUGAGAGGAGCUGCGGAUGACCCAGCUGUCAUGGUCCAUAUUGGUACCAAUGACAGUCAGAGUAAAAUGGAAGGUCCAAAAGAAUGAGUUCAUGGAACUAGGAAUUAAACUUAAGAAAAGGACCUCCAAGGUAAUAUUUUCAGAAAUAUUACCUGUGCCGCGCACUACAGCAGAAAGGUAGCGGGACUUUGGAGAGAUCAAUGCGUGGAUGAAGUCUUGGUGCAGGAAAGAGGGUUUUGAAUUUUUAAAGCAAUGGGCCGAUUUUGCACUUAGGUACAACUUGUACAGCCAUGAUGGAUUGCACCUAUAUGGAGGAGGGUCUGCUGUGAUGUGGGAUUGGAUGGCUAGAAGGUUGGAGGAGAUUUUAAACUAGUAGUAGGGUGGGAGGGUCAUAGCAAUCUAGAAAAUGGAGAUAGGAUAGAAAGGAGACUGGCUUUAACUAAGUAUAAGGAGAGUGGAGAUGGGGGGAAAGGUAAGCUCAGAACAAAGGAGAUAUGUAAUAUUGAAAAAAAUUUACAAAAAGUGGGGGAACUAGAGGCAAUAGCAUACACUAAGCAACAUAAUAUAAUAGGCAUAACAGAAACAUGGUUGGAUGAGACACAUGACUGGGCAGUUAACUUAAAUGGGUACACAUUAUUUAGAAAGGAUAGGCAAAACAAGAGUGGUGAGGUAUGUUUGUAUGUCAACCAUGAGUUAAAGUCAAAUCUUAGGCAUGUGGAGUGUGACGGGGAAAAUGUGGGUAGAUAUCAGCUUGGGGCAAACAAAAAAUCAAUUAUUGGUUGGGAUAUGUUAUAAACCACCUAAUGUAAAUAUUAAAUAGGAAGAACAGCUGCUAGAGCAAAUUGGGAAAGCUGCAAAUCUGGGUAACCAGUUAAUUAUUGGAGAUUUUAUUUACCCGGGCAUAAAUUGGGAUAGAGUGACUAGUACUUCCGCAAGGGGAAUCAAGUUUUUGAACAUGUUAAAUGAUACCUUUAUGCCACAACUGGUACAAGCACCAACUAGAAAGGAUGCUUGUCUGGAUCUCGUUAUAACAAACAAUGUUGAUCUUUUGACCAUCAUUCAAGUAGGGGAGCAUUUGGGAAAUAGCGAUCACAAUAUGGUAAUUUUGUUAAAUAAACUCAAAAAAUCAAAAGCAUGUGGGGUAUACUAAAACGUAUAAUUAUUAGAAAACCCAAUUUCAAUAAUAUUAGGGCAGCUCAACAACAUAUCAACUGGCAUAAACUUCUUAGUGAAAAAAACACUGAGGAUAAAUGGAUGUUCUUCAAACAAAUAUUAGAAAGGUACAUUUCUCAGGAUGUACUAUUAAAUAUAAAAUAAAUAUAAAAGAAACACAUUGAAACCAAUGUGGCUUAGUAGAGAAGUAAAACAAGAGAUUAAAAAUAAGAAAAGGGCAUUUAAAUCGGACAAAUCAGAUGCAUCCUAUAUAAGAUAUAAGAAAGCCAAUAAUGCUUGCAAAAAGGCAAUAAAAGUGGCUAAACUAGAAAAUGAGAAAUGGAUAGCCAAAUAAUGCAAAACCAACCCCCAAUUUUUUUUCAAAUAAAUCAAUUCUUAAAAAAACAAAAAAUUAAAGUGUAGGUACACUUGAGACAGAGAUGGGUCUGUUAGUUAAUGAAGACCAGGAAAAGGCAGAAAUUUUAAAAGACUAUUUUUAAUGAGGAUCCCAUGGCAAGAGAUAUGCAAAUGAUUGCUGCAAAAACUUGUGAUUGGAUGAUUCGAGACAAGGUGCUACAGCAGUUAAAGAAAAUUAAUGUAAAUAAAGUUCCAAGGCCUGACGGUAUUCACCCACGAGUACUUAAGGAGCUAAGUGAAAAUAAGUGACCCUCUGUAUUUAAUCUUUCAAGAUUCUUUUGUUUCAGGUAUUGUACCAAAGGAUUGGAGGAAGGCAGAUGUCGUUGCUGUGUUUAAAAAAGGGUUCAAAAUCCUUGCCUGGAAAUUAUAGACCUGCUUACCUUCUGUGACUGGGAAAAUAUUUGAAGGGCUAUUAAGGGAUAAUCAGGAAUUCAUUGGGAAGAACUUUGUUAUUAGCAAUAAUCAGCAUGGUUUUAUGAAACAUAGGUCAUGCCAAACUAACCUAAUUGCAUUCUACAAAGAAGUAAGUAGAAGUAUAGAUCAGGGUGUUUUCAGUGGAUGUGAUCUACUUGGAUUUUGCCAGGGCAUUUGAUACGGUUCCUUACAAUAGAUUAGUCUUCAAACUAAAAGAAAUUGGUCUAGAUGAAUAUUCUUGUUCUUGGGUAGAACAUUGGCUUAAGGAUAUAGUACAACACGUUUUCAUUAAUGGUACAUUUUCAAGCUGGACAAAAGUGGUGUCCCUCAGGGUUCUGUUUUAGGACCACUUCUAUUUAACAUAUUUAUAAAUGAUCUUGAAAUGUGCAUUGAAAGCCAUGUUUUAGUGUUUGCAGAUGACACAGAACUUUGUAAAGUUAUAAAAUGUGAGCAGGAUAUAUCUUUGCUGCAGAGGUAUUUAGAUAGAUUGGGGGACUGAGCACUAAAAUGGCAGAUUAAAUUUAAUGUAGAGAAAUGCAAAGUUAUGCACCUCGGGUUCAAGAAUGCGCAAGCAAUUUACACCCUAAAUGGUAGUGAAUUAGGGACAACCACACACAAGAAGGAUUUGGGAAUCAUUAUAGACAACAAAUUAGGCAGCAAUAUGCAAUGUCAAUCUGCAGUUACUAAUGUCAAUAAGGUCUAGGGAUGAAAAUAUAAUUUUGCCUCUUUAUAAAUUGCUGGUAAGACCACACCUUGAAUAUUCCGUGCAAUUGUGGUCACUUGUUCUAAAGAAGGAUAUCAUGGCACUAGAAAAACUGCAGAGACGAGCUACAAAAUUGAUUAAAGGAAUGGAUAACUUUAGUUAGUUUGGAAAAACAGCGCCUCAGAGGGGAUAUGAUAACAUUAUACAAAUAUAUUCAGGGCCAGUACAAACCAUUAUCUGGAAAUCUAUUCAUAAACAGGGCUAUACGUAGGACAUGAGGUCAUGUAUUUAGACUGGAAGAAAAGAGAUUUAAUCUAAGGCAAAGGAAAGGUUGUUUUUUUUUUUUUUACAGUAAGAACUAUAAGGAUAUGGAAUUCUCUACUUAAAGAUGUGGUUUUAUCAGAGUCUAUACAGAUGUUUAAACAGCAAUUGGAUAAAUACUUCCAAAAACAUAACAUACAGGGAUACAAUUCCGAUUUUGGGGUUUAAGAAUGAAAUUUUUCCUAGUUUGUUGCAAAAUUUGAAGAGCUUCAGACAGGGUUUUUGCCUUCUUUUGGAUCAACAGCAAAAAACAUACGUGAGGAAGGCUGAACUUGAUGGACACAAGUCUCUUUUCAGCUAUGUAACUAUUGUCCUCCCACCCCCGCCCAUGGGUGGGGGCCGGGGGUGGACAAGAGGACCCCUCCUUAUUGUCAUUAGGGCCCCCAGACACCACUCAUGGGUGGGGGCCAAAGGGGACCCUCUGUCCCUUAUUUAGUUGAAUAGCCCCCAUGCUCAGGGCAUGGGUGGGGACUUGGGGGACAUACUACAUCCCCCCCUCUGCUAGUUAAUAGAUGCCCCACCAUGAGGCCAUUUAUUAGAAGUAAAAAAAUAUAUUUUUACAACUCUGAGCAGCCGCAGGCUGCUAACUGUUUAGUGGGCAUACCCCUACUCGCGGCAUAGCGAGCAGGGACAUGCACGCCCAUAGCUCCUCCUUGUAAUAAACUAAAGGAACAAACAAACACCAACAUUUGGUGUUUGUUUGUUCGUCUGACAUUUCUAUUUAUUUGUCUUCCUGACGAAUGAAUGAAUAGACGAAAUUCCUGUCCGAAUUUCGGACAAUAGCAAAUACCCAAGUGUUUAACUGGGCAUGCGCAGGAAUUUCAUAGCGCCAUCUAGUGUAGGCAUAAGAUGUGUCCCACAAGGCCUUCAUCUGCUCACACAAAGAUGGCGGCGCCCAGGACCUAGGUCCGUGCAUUAAAUAAAGAUGAAAAAAUAGGUAAUAUGUGGGGAUUAGAGUUAUUUGGGGGUGACUAGGAAGGAAAUUAGAUGUAGUGAAGUUGGGAGGCUGGGUUAAAAAACCCAGAUGUAGCCAUGCCAGUGCUGCUUUAAACAUGAUUAUUAGACCAUAUUCCAUACACGAGAAUGAGAUGGUCCUGAUUAGAUAUACUACUUCCUAGUGUUGGCAACGUUCAUGGCAGAUGAUGUGAGGUAUUCGGAUUAGCAUAAAAAUUCUAUUUUUAAUGGAUCAUUUUUAAAUCUGUUUUAGGUGCAUCACCCCUACAAAUCAGUAAAAACACAGAAAAAAGUUAAUUCUACACUGAAGUACCCCUUUAAUUUAAUGUCUCUGUUUUUUUUUGUUUUUUUUCCUGUUUCUAUAAUAUUUGAAUUUGCCUUUUUGAAAUGGCCACAAUAGGCACAAAGACCACUUAUUCUCAUUGAAAUUGUCAGCAUUCACUCUAACUUUCCCCCUUAGUGCUGCAAUGUAAAACAUAACAGUAUCAGAGAAUGUUUACAUUGCAAUACUAAGAAUAGCUCUAGAGGCUGUGCUGAAGGUCUUCAUACAGUGAAGCGAUGCUGGACAUCCUCAUGCUCUGCAUAAAUGCAUCCAUUGUCAAUGAAAACCCCAUGGGAAAGCAUUAAAGGGACACUGUAGGCAACCAGACCACUUCAGCUCAUUGAAGUGGUCUGGGUGCUGUGUCCCUUUUGCACCUAGUGCUGCAAUGUUAAACAUUGCAGUUCCAGAGAACUGCAAUGUUUACAUUGCAGAUCUAAGUCUGCCCUCUGUGGCUGUCUAUCAGACAGCCACCAGAGGGCUUCCGGAAUCAUAGUGGACUUUUUGUCUGUUAUCUGACGUUGGAUGUCCUCACGCUCUGUAUGAGGACCUUCAGCAUCAGAUUUUUUUUCCCCAUAGGAAAGCAUUGAUUUAAUGCUUUCCUAUGGGGCGGUCUAAUGCGUGCGCGCAUAAUUUGCCGCACAUGCGCAUUAGUCCCUGCUCGUUGCAGAAUGAAGGAGGGGCGGAGCUUCGACCCAGCACAGAGGGACAUCAGCACUGGGAUCAGGUAAGUAAAAUAAGGUGUUUUUUUUUUAACCCUUUAUUUACUGGGUAGAAGGGGGCGCAAGGGAAGGGGCAUGCACAGGGUUCGUGUUUUGUGUUCCUGGCACUGCAGUAUCCCUUUAAGGCAAUACUUUCCUAUGUGGAAGGCCUAAUGCUUGUGCGUUGCUCACCGUACAUGCACAUUAGAUCCCUUCCCCCACAUCAGCUGACAUUAGUGUCCCUUUAAGUACGAUUUAGCAAAGCUUUUCUUUUAGUAAAUCCAGUUGGUAUCUCUACAGCUGGCAAGUUGAUAUUUUUUUCAGUGGUAUGACUGGCGUGUAUAAUUAGCUGUCAUUUUCUGAAAGAGAAAUAUAUUUAUAUGCCCUUGGUUUGUUUUACCAUAAAUGAGAUUUUCACAAUAUGGCAUAGUGAAGAUGUCUGCUUUGCUGUGAGUAUCAUUAGGAACCCAAAUCACAUUCUAGGUACAAUGCAGAACGAGAAAAACAACUUAAACACAAAGUCUGAAAUCUUGUUUGAUUUGUGUUUCUACAGCCAUUGCUAAGGGACAGGUGUUGGCAUGAAUGCUUAACAGCUGAGAGUUUAUUUUAAAUCGGAAGCGGACUGCAUAUUGUGUAUGUGCUGGGGAAACCAACAAGAGAUAAGCAAAUAAAUAACUUGAGUGACUUUGUUGUUAAACAUCACCUCCCUCUUUAACAAUGCUCUUUAGGAAUUCUCUUUGGAAGCAUUUGUAUUAAAGGACCACUAUAGUGCCAGGAAAACAAACUCAUUUUCCUGGCACUAUAGGAUCUUUCGGUCCCCCCACCCUCAGGAUCCCCCUCCCACCGGGCUAUAGGGGGAGGAAGGGGUUAAUCACUUACCUCUCUCUAGCGCCGGGCUCCCUCGGCGCCUGGGAUCUCUCCUCCCUCUUUUGACGUCAGCGCUGAAUGUGCAUGGGCUGCAAGAGCUGCGCGCGCAUUCAAUCAGUCUAUAGGAAAGCAUUUCUCAAAGCUUUCCUAUGGACGUCAGCAUCUUCUUGCCGUGAUUUUCACAGUGAGAAGCGCGGAAGCGCCUCUAGCGGCUGUCAAUGAGACAGCCACAGGAGGCUGGAUUAACCCUAUUGUAAACAUAGCAGUUUCUAUGAAACUAUGUUUACAGCUGCAGGGCUAACCCUAGAUGAACCAGGCACCCAGACCACUUCAUUGAGCUGAAGUGGUCUGGGUGCCUAUAGUGGUCCUUUAAUAUCACUCUUUUUCUUAAUCCAAUUAAUAAAUUAAUUUAGAUGUGUUCAGAAUGUAAAUGACAGGGUGUGCAUUGUGUGUAGUGUGCUGUCUACAAUCACAAUUCUUAUAUGAGGCAGACAGUAAAAUAUUAGGGUCAGAAGAUUUCGGCCUCAAGCCUUCAUCAUGUAUACAGAAUAAAGAACAAGCAAAACAUAUAUACAUGUGGUAAAAUUAUAUUCCCACCCAAACAUCCUAUGACAUCAGAGGAAGAGAAAACAAUGUAACACAUCUGAUGAGAGGCCUCCAGGUGUAUUAGAUUGUUAUGGAAACCAGAAAACCAUGUGAUAACAUAAGGUGUGAAACAAGCAAUAAGGUCAUAAACUCAAAGCAUCUUCCAUCAAUACAGGUAAAAGAGGAAGUGAAGUGUGUUAAAGAAAUGUGCAUAUGGCUGUGAAUACAAAAACUAAGAUUGGGUUGCCAUGGAACUACUAGGAGUUCCCUAUACUAGCUUGAGUGUGGGGUGCUUAAAUGUAUAGUAGAGGCUAAAAUUGUCAAUCCAUGUACUAGGGGUAAUGCAUCCAACCUAUAUGAUAUUAUAAAAACAAUGCCUGAUCCAGAAUGUAGACUAUUGCACGAACUGGACAAAGAGGGCUCAUUGUCAGGGUUGAGGGCCACCAAUCGCUAGUGCGGGACCCACCAAUAAUAAAAGUUUUACUAAUUUCACCACACAGUAAUGCCUUUGGAUUUGGUAUAUUUUAAAUAUUCUAAAGGUCCUGGGUGCAAAACUACAGAUGGAAUUGAAUAUUUUAAAUACGUAAAAUUUAAUUGUGACAUUAUGCUAGCAGAAUUUAUAGAUUUUAUAACACAUUUUUUAAAAAUAUUUUUUAUUUUUCCAGUUCAUAUAAAUUUUACAAGCAUGUCUGAGGUGCCCCGAAAGCAGUCCUCAGGCGUUUUCCUCGCUGAACAUGCGGGACAUAUGAAACGAGAUGGUCACAAUUUUAUAGUAUAGGUAGGCUUAGUUAAUUAGGUCAUUCUUUGAACAAUGCUGUCUAGUCUAGUAUCUGUCGAUUGGGACAUAAGCUGUAUACGUUUAGUUUUAUAGCUUGCACACCUAGCUAAGCAUGGAUAAGGUUGCGCUAUCACGUUUAUGCUUUACAUGUGAGUGACAAUAUGAGUAAAUCUAAUGGUACAGGCUUAAACAGUAAGGAUUAAUAUAUGCUGAGGUAUGCUUAGCAUUAUAUCAAGUGAGGCCAUAAACUGCUCAACAUGGUGCUCACGGUUGUUCACCCUACACCUGAUGCUUGGAGGGUGUUACUGGCGUGAUGGCUCGCGUGCAGAUUUCCCCCUGCGUCCCCCUGCCAGGCCCUUCUCUUGGUGAGCCCCCAUGGGCCGGAUGGUGUAGUGGGGUCUUGGAAUCCCUCUGCGUGGCCUGGUCUCUUGGCUAGCGUGGUGUGCUUGGGGUCCUACUGGGAGCUUAGAGGGGUUACCCUUUGGGUGGGUCGGUACCUGAGGGUACCGCGGCAGUCCGCAUAGCUGGGUGUGUGGCGUCUGUGUGGAGGUUUCCGUCGGAUCACCCGCACGCUCCUCCCCGUGAGUCGGGCUGUUCCAUGGCCCCAUCCAGGUGUUGCUGUCAGCUUUGCUGGCUCUGGUAGGAUCCUUGCAGACUCCCCACAUGUAUCUUUGUGGAGGGCGAGUUUGUCCCAAAAAGCCUCCAGCAGGCGGUCUAUCCUCUCCGCUAGCAGGGUCAGUGUGGUGCUGUCUGCAGGGCCGCACGUGGCGCCCACCAUGUUUUUCCCCGCUGGAGCAGCUGUGCAGGUAGGGCCAGGUCGGCUCCCUGGCAUUGGGUCGUCGCUUGUAGUUGCCGGCAUAACACCCACCGGCAUGGGGGGGCGGGUGGGGAGGUAGGUUUUUCCAGGGGAGACCGCUGUGGUGAAGGGAUCGGCCACCUCCCUCGAGCAGCUUGAUCAGGCCCUCCAUAUGCCUCUGGUCGAUCCCCUGUUAGAGACUAUCGCUUGCUGUCGGCUCGUGUGGUGCUCGCUACUGCUUCGGAAGACCCUUUAGGCUGGGGCUGUUGAGCAGGCAAGUUUGAGGGCUCAUUUCAGCCACUUGUGGGUCUUUGCCUCUGAGCCCAUGUAUUAUGCGACCGCUCGGCAUGGCUGCCAGGCUCUGCCCCAGUAACACAUAUUUUUAAAGAUAUAGCAAAGACAAAUACCUGCAUGCCAUCACUUAGUUGACAGUAGAGCAGGAGAACGCUCCUAGAGGUGGUUCUACUGCUCUCCAUUACAGAAGUAUUUUCUGUGACAAUUUCCUUAGUGAAUACAUGUCAGAUUGAACUAAUAAAGGAAUGGAGUGAGAGAUGUAGCUUCAAUUUACAUCACUUAAGCAAUUACAUGGGAAAGCGUUUCUAUCGUUAACAAAUGUGUAGAAUAGAUUAUGAAACAUUACUCUGUCUUUUUGAACCUGGCAUUGAGAUUGCACAUACAGCUACUAUAUCUUACAUAGUUAAUUACAUAGGCUGAAAGGAGACUUGUGUCCAUCAAGUUCAGCUUUAUUAACAUUUGUUUUUGCUGUUGAUCCAAAAGAAGUCAAAAAAACAAAACAAAAAAAAAACAGUUUUAAGCACUUGCAAUUUUGCAACAAACUAGGAAAAACAUUCCCUUAUUUAUCCUUGGAACAAGAAGCUGUUGCCCUACAGUUGAAAAUUGGUAUCACUUGUCAUGGUUGAAUAUAUUUAACACCUGUUAUAUGUAAAAUGUAUAUAUGAGUGUGUGUGUAUAUACAUAUAUAUAUAUUGUGACGAGACCAAUCUCGCCACAUUGCAUUGGAGAAGCCUGGUUGCUCGCCUGCUGCCUUUGGACUAUGGCCCCCUUUUAAAAGACUUUAUUUUUGCCUGCAGAAAAGCUGUAUUUGUGCUUUUCUGCCUGGGUUUCAGUAGAUUUGUUUGAAUGUGUUAUACCCCAGAUGGGAAUCCCAUGGAGCCCAUUCGUAUGAAACUGACUGUAAAGACUUUGGCUCCAUGCGAUUAAACUGUAUUUGUGUGGUCCGAGCGCCAUUCACUUAAUAAUGUGCGCUCAGACCUGAGCUAUCUGGGGAUAUGUGAAAUGUCUGUGUGUUAUGUGUAAAAUGUGACUUUAUGUAUUUUAAAGUGUUUUGUGUCUUUUUGCAACCAUGUGCUUAAUGGAGUCUUGUGUCUGUCCUGGGAGAUAAUUGAAUUACUUAUCUCCAGGAUAGAAGACUCUGAAACUGGUUUGGCCAGAAAGCCAUGCUUCAUUUAGUCACAAAGGACUUUUUACUAACUUUUGAACCCCUUGUCUGAUUUGUGCCAUUUUUGAAUAUGUUGUUCCCCUGAAUGGAUUGAUUGAGAAUAUGUAAUUUUAUGUGAAUGUGAUGUAUGGUUUUGGAGUUAUGAAAGUUGGGUAGAAAGUAUGUUUUAACUGUUUGCAUAAUUGAGUUUCCUCUCAGGAUAAGGGGAGGGAAUAUGUGGGAUGUAACUGUGAUAUGAUUGGUUGUUUUAUCCCUCCCUGUGGGUGGUCCUGUAUUUGAAACACUGUAAUAAAAACCAGGCUGGGUGUGCCAGCACCUCAGACCACUGCUUGACCCUCAACACGGAGCCUUGUCUCGUUCUUGGGGGAUUCACUGUAUGCUGUUAGAGACUGAUUGCCAGGAGUGUAAGCUGAUUGUCUGCUUUUCCUGUUCGUCUGCUAGCAGCUAUUUGGGAGGUUCCAGUUCGGGAGUUGGAGUGCUAUUUUGUAUCCAGUUCGGGAGUUUGGUGUUCUGCAGUAGCUGUGCCUGUAUCUCUGGAAAGGGGGCCAAUCGCCUAAACGGUUUUUACCCCUUGUGUGCAAAACGGUCCGUUACAAUUGGUGGCAGCGGCGGGAUCGUUCCUACAACCAGAAGGACAGCUACAGGAGACACCAUUUCUUUGGAUUUUACAAUUUGAGGGCAACGCAUGUCCCAGUACAGCGACCCUGACAGCACCAGCAUGGAACCAGCAGUGGAGUAUGACGAGGGUGCCAUGGAUGACCGAGAUGCAGUCCGUAAAGGCAUCUGGUACCAGGCACUGGGUAUUGUGGAGUACCAGCGGGGCAAGAGACUCCCCAAGGAAGACCUGCGGUUGCAGAAGCGAGUAGCCCUGCGGAUGCCCUUCCUGGGAGAACAGCCCCGGGAUGAAUGGGUGAAGGAAUUGGAGCACCGGGUAUGGCAGGAGAUUUGGCUGGAAGAUGCCUACCAGGCGCUCUGGUGGUAUGGGGCACAGUACCUACCCUGGACAGCUGAGCAUGACAAGCCAGAGGGAGAGGAGUUUGAUGGUCCUGGCUUGUUAUGGGAGUCAUUUUCAGAGCUCGAAUUUGGGAGCCCUACACAAGCCCGGUUCAGUGAUCUCUUGGAGUGGGGGGAGAGCAGGUAUGACUGGGACGACACUCACGAAAUUGAGCAAGACCUGGUCCACCUGGUAACCCGGGAGAUGGAGCUAGAACAGGGCUACCAGCAGCUGUUCCAAUACAGUGAGAAGGCGCAGCGGGAGAGCAGCAUGACAGACCCAGAGCCAGACCCAUUCAGAGGGGACGAGAUGGUACAGUUUUACUGGGAAGAACCCCAGGUGGCCGAUAGAGAUGGGACCGAGGUCUCUCCACCGGUCCUGCAGGGAAUUGGGAGCCCAGUCUCCAUUCCCCAGCGGCCGCGUGAUUUAUUGGGAAUUGGGAGCCCAGUCUCCAUUCCCCAGCGGCAGUGUAAAGUGCAGGGAGAGGAGAGCAGUAUCCUCCCUCCCCAGCUGCAGGCUGAGUUACAGGGGGCAGAGGUAGUUGUUCCUGCCCCCCAGCAGCAGAGUGAUAUGCCGGGAAGGCAGCGUAAAGUGCAGGGAGAGGAGAGCAGUAUCCUCCCUCCCCAGCGGCAGGCUGAGUUACAGGGGGCAGAGGUAGUUGUUCCUGCCCUCCAGCAGCCAAGUGAUAUGCCGGGAAGGCAGUGUGAAGUGCAGGGAGAGGAGAGCAGUGUCCUCCCUCCCCAGCGGCAGGCUGAGUUACAGGGGGCAGAGGUAGUUGUUCCUGCCCCCAGCAGCCAAGUGAUAUGCCGGGAAGGCAGUGUGAAGUCCAGGGAGAGGAGAGCAGUGUCCUCCCUCCCCAGCGGCAGCGUGAUUUUUUGGGAAUCGGGAGCCCAGUCUCCAUUCCCCAGCGGCAGUAUGAUGCUUUGGGAAUUGGGAGCCCAGUCUCCAUUCCCCAGCGGCAGCACAGAUCAUUGGGAAUUGGGAGCCCCGUCUCCAUUCCCCAGCGGCAGAGUGUCCUACCGGGAAUAGAGAGCCCAGUCUCCUUUCCCAGCAGCAGGACUCUGUAUUGGGAGCAGAGACAGUCGGUCUCCCUCCCCCGCAGCUGGAAGUAUGUAUGGGAGAGGAGCUUGUUACCCCCUCUCCCCAGCGGCAGCUUAAUGUACCAGGGGGAGACAGUAAGCCCCAAAACCGUGCAGAUGGGACCGUAGUCUCUACACUGCCAGCACAGGGGGUAGGGACGGUCGGUCCUGCCCCCCAGCGACAGGGCUGUUUGGCCAAAGGGGAGACAGUCGGUCUCCCCCUCCAGCAGCAGAGAUGGGUAACCAAAGGGGAGACGGUCGGUCUCCAGCAGCAGGACUGUGCAUCUAAAGGCGAGACAGUCAGUCUCCAGCAGCAGCAGCAGAGCGGUGUAUUUAAAGGGGAGACAGUCGGUCUCCCCCUCCAACAACCAGGCUUCCACCAGGCUACCCUCCCAGUGGCGCUGGCAACAGGGCAGAGUGCCGCUGGUCUCUGCCCACGCAGCAACCCACCAAGUCAGCGUACCCGUACCCAGCACAGCCGUGGUGAGGCACCUGGACAUGGACAAGCUUCUUCUCUACCCAGGUGUAGUAACCAUUUAUUGUGGGUGGGCUGUGCUGUUGAUUAUUUGUUGUGGGUGGGCUGCUGGACUAACAAGGGCACUGACCGGCAGGAGGUCAGAUACCCUGUUAGUCUGUUUGGAAAAGGGGAGAGAUGUGACGAGACCAAUCUCGCCACAUUGCAUUGGAGAAGCCUGGUUGCUCGCCUGCUGCCUUUGGACUAUGGCCCCCUUUUUAAAGACUUUAUUUUUGCCUGCAGAAAAGCUGUAUUCGUGCUUUUCUGCCUGGGGUUCAGUAGAUUUGUUUGAAUGUGUUAUACCCCAGAUAGGAAUCCCAUGGAGCCCAUUUGUAUGAAACUGACUGUAAAGACUUUGGCUCCAUGGCGAUUAAACUGUAUUCGUGUGGUCUGAGCGCCAUUCGCUUAAUAAUGUGCGCUCGGACCUGAGCUAUCUGGGGAUAUGUUACAUGUCUGUGUUUUAUGUAAUAAAAGGUGACUUUAUGUAUUUUAAAGUGUUUUGUGUCUUUUUGCAACCAUGUGCUUAAUGGAGUCUUGUGUCUGUCCUGGGAGAUAAUUGAAUUACUUAUCUCCAGGAUAGAAGACUCUGAAACUGGUUUGGGCCAGAAAGCCAUGCUUCAUUUAGUCACAAAGGACUUUUUACUAACUUUUGAACCCCUUGUCUGAUUUGUGCCAUUUUUGAAUAUGUUGUUCCCCUGAAUGGAUUGAUUGUGCAUAUGUAAUUUUAUGUGAAUGUGAUGUAUGGUUUUAGAGUUAUGAAAGUUGGGUAGAAAGUAUGUUUUAACUGUAUGUAUAAUUGAGUUUCCUCUCAGGAUAAGGGGAGGGAAUAUGUGGGAUGUAACUGUGAUAUGAUUGGUUGUUUUAUCCCUCCCUGUGGGUGGUCCUGUAUUUGAAACACUGUAAUAAAACCAGGCUGGGUGUGCCAGCACCUCAGACCACUGCUUGACCCUCAACACGGAGCCUUGUCUCGUUCUUGGGGGGAUUCACUGUAUGCUGUUAGAGACUGAUUGCCAGGAGUGUAAGCUGAUUGUCUGCUUUUCCUGUUCGUCUGCUAGCAGCUAUUUGGGAGGUUCCAGUUCGGGAGUUGGAGUGCUAUUUUGUAUCCAGUUCGUGAGUUUUGGUGUUCUGCAGUAGCUGUGCCUGGAUCUCUGGAAAGGGGGCCGAUCGCCUAAACGGUUUUUACCCCUUGUGUGCAAAACGGUCCGUUACAAUGCCGUUGUCCUGUCUCUCUGGAUUUUUUCAAGUAGUUGCCUCCAAAUCCCAUUACUUCAGAUGUAUAUUUUAACUUCUACCAGCUGUAGCCAGAAUAUUACUGAGCAUNNNNNNNNNNNNNNNNNNNNNNNNNNNNNNNNNNNNNNNNNNNNNNNNNNNNNNNNNNNNNNNNNNNNNNNNNNNNNNNNNNNNNNNNNNNNNNNNNNNNCCCCGGCUCCUUGUACUUGCAGAGGGGGCCCAGCGGACUGCAAGUGUACUUACAAGCUCUUCCCUCUCUGUAACUCCCGCGAGCACGGCAUUACCAUGGGUUACCAUGGCAACGCUCUGGCGGCCGUGGGUAUCGCGGGAGUUAGAGAGAGGGAAGAGCUUGUAAGGCUGCACCUGAACUGCAAAUAUAUAUAGCGAUCAUCGCUAUAUAUAUAUAUAUAUAUAUAUAUAUAUAUAUAUAUAUAUGUGUGCAGAGAGUAAUUGUGGGCCCUGGACGGCCAAAGCAGUCCGGGCCCCCAAGUACCGCCGGGUCCGUGACAACUGUCAUGGUUGUCACCCCGUGAUGGCGUCCUUGACUGUCCCACCAGAAUCGUGACAGUUGGGAGGCAUGUAUAUGUCUUGGUAGCACAGGUAUCUCCUGCUUAUCGCUCAUAGAGAUGUGCCUUGUCUUGCAUUGUCCUCCACACAUUUAAAGGGUUACUCUAGAAACCAUGAUCAUGUCAGUGCUUUGAAGUGGUCAUGGUGCAAAGAGUCUGUGUGUGCAACGUUUUAGUAUAAAACCUAUAGAUUUCAUAUAGCUGCCAGUGUUGUAAGUCCACCUCCUGGCAGCAUCGUUACCAAGCCCAGAUUAGAGGUCUGGCCUGGUCAGUGGGCAUUCUGUGCAUAAAAUACAUCUGUCAUCAUCACACAGAGCAUGCCAGUGAAAAAAGUCUCCAUCUUGCCAAAGUGAAUCACCUGGUAUAAAAGUAUAAAACUAAAUAGUGGAUCUAAAUUUGCUUAAAAUCUUAUUGAGGUGUAAUUUAUUGUCUUAUUGUCAUAAGAGUUAUACAUUUGGUUGCAGACGGGACUGCCAUUUUUUCAUAAAAUAGAUUGUGUCAUGUUUCCCACGUGUCAUAUUUGAAGUAUUUCUUGGAGGUUGCGUAAACAGCUCAUUUUGUCCCUCUUUGCUAAUCCAAUAAUAAACCAUCAGCAAGCAUUGCAAAGGUAUCUUUCAGAAGUCUUUGCACAAAGAGUUUAUUACCCCCUCAGCCCAAUAAAGAUAGAGGUGCGGUUUGACAGAUUUAAUGUGAGUGAUCUGAAGUGUAUGAUACUGACUGUCAUAUAUCUUAUCUCUGAAAAUAAGAAAAUAACAGCUAGUUAUCUGAAUUUGAAUGGUUCUAGUGUGAAGUUAAAGCUGCACUUUCAUGCCGAACUUACCUUUCCACAAUCAAUUCAUCUUCUCUCCCACUCUCAGGAUCUGUUCUUCUUUUCUUAUUGUCUGCUCGAGGGGCUACUUUGGUUUUAUGUAUUUUUCCUAUGCUUGACCCGCUCUGACCCACUUCCUGUGGGUCAGAGACAUUUUCCCACAAUACCCUUUCCUCCGUGCUCUCGCGAUGCCUGCUUUCACUAUUCCAGAACGUCCUGUCAUUUAGUAGCCAUCGAAACUAACAAAUUUCAUCCUAACAGAAUGAGAAUAGUUUGUUCAUUCAUGUUAGGAGAACAUUCGUUACUUUUAGUUCAGUUUGAAAUUUCAUUAGAAUGAAAGAAAUUACGAUCCGUGCUGCGGCUGCAUCUGGCUAAUUCCCACAGUAUCAGGGAGCUAUCUACCAAACGGCUGAAAGACCUGAAUUGCUCUUUCAGCCAACUUUACUAAUACUAAGUAAAAAUUACUUAGUAUUAGUAAUUAAUUUGCCCCUACUCGCUAUGCAGCAAGUAGGGGCAUGUCUACUAAACAAUGAGUGGCAGGUGGGGGCCCUAAAAGGCAAUGGGGGGAGGACCUCUUUUUCUCCUCCCUUGCCCCCACCCAUGAGUGGUGGGUGGGUGCCCUAAAUGACAAUGGGGGGGAGGACCUUUUGUUCUCCCCUCUGGCCCCCACCCAUGAGCGGCGGGUUGGGGCACUAAAUUUCAAUGAGGGGGGACCUGAGAGAGAUUGACAAUCUUGAGAGGAGUCUGCUGCUCACUGAGCAGAGUUUAGUGGGGACAAGUAGUGGAGUGGGAUUAGAUGAGACAGUUGGUGAACAGGCACAUCACUGGGUAACGGGGGGGGGGAGGGAAAAGGAAAGGUUUAGCUAGUCCUGAUCUUGUGCAGCCUAACAGAUUUCCCCGUUUGAGUGAAGAUGUUGAGAGCAUCAGCUCAGGAGUAGCUGUACUGCAGGAAGCUGUUCCUUCUAACAAUCAUGGGUACAGCCCCUCUAGUACGGGUAGGGAUGAGAGUGCAAGGAAGGCUAGACAGGUUGUGGUGGUAGGGGACUCUAUUAUUAACCCCUUAAGGGCGGCGGGCGAUCGUGGUGGGAGGACUCAUCUGGCAUCCCAGGGAGUCCCCCUGCCACCAGUCUGGCCCUCCUGUGCCAUGUGAAAGCGAGAUCGCCAAAACUGUCGUUCAUAUGGGUUUUUGGCAUUUUUCACACACAAACAAAUAUUAACGCUAACUUUGACUAGUGUUUGUGACCAAGUGGCUACUAAAAAAGACUUGACAAGACUGGACAUACCCCCAUUUGCAAUACCUUGAGUUGUCUACUAUUGCAAAUGGUAUGCCAUCAUGGGGGUAAUUCUCAUUCAUGGGCUACCAUACAGUCUCAAAGGCAACGUAACCAAUCUGGCGAAUUUCAAUGUGAAAAAAACUGAAAAAUUUAACAUGCUAUAUUUGACCCUGUAACUUUCCAAAACACCAUAAAACCUGUACAUAGGGGGUACUGUUUUACACGUGAAACAUUGCUGAAUAGAAAUGUGUAUUUUAAAAGCAAGCAGUAUUAUGACAUUCACAGUUAAAAUGUCACGUAGAACUAAACAAAUUUUAAAAAAUUCUUAUUUUCUUUUUUUAUAUUUAUUCAUAUUAAAUUAUGUUUCAUAGCUAAAUAUUUGAUGUUAAAUGAAAGCCCUGUUUUCCCUGAAUAAAAUGAAAUAUAAUAAGUGUGGGUGCAUUUAAUAUGAAAGGUGAAUUACGGUUGGACAGACAUAUAGCGCAAAUGCCAGGUUUUCUUUACGUUUUGUUUUCAUCACAACAUGUACAUUUGGCUCAGUCCUUAAGGGGUUAAGAAAGUAGAUAGGGUAAUCUGCCACUCUGAUCAUCUCAACCGUACAGCUUGCUGUCUCCCGGGUGCUCGGGUCCGACUUGUUGCUGACAGAGUUGAGGGAUUAUUGAGAGGAGCUGCGGAUGACCCAGCUGUCAUGGUCCAUAUUGGUACCAAUGACAGUCAGAGUAAAAUGGAAGGUCCAAAAGAAUGAGUUCAUGGAACUAGGAAUUAAACUUAAGAAAAGGACCUCCAAGGUAAUAUUUUCAGAAAUAUUACCUGUGCCGCGCACUACAGCAGAAAGGUAGCGGGACUUUGGAGAGAUCAAUGCGUGGAUGAAGUCUUGGUGCAGGAAAGAGGGUUUUGAAUUUUUAAAGCAAUGGGCCGAUUUUGCACUUAGGUACAACUUGUACAGCCAUGAUGGAUUGCACCUAUAUGGAGGAGGGUCUGCUGUGAUGUGGGAUUGGAUGGCUAGAAGGUUGGAGGAGAUUUUAAACUAGUAGUAGGGUGGGAGGGUCAUAGCAAUCUAGAAAAUGGAGAUAGGAUAGAAAGGAGACUGGCUUUAACUAAGUAUAAGGAGAGUGGAGAUGGGGGGAAAGGUAAGCUCAGAACAAAGGAGAUAUGUAAUAUUGAAAAAAAUUUACAAAAAGUGGGGGAACUAGAGGCAAUAGCAUACACUAAGCAACAUAAUAUAAUAGGCAUAACAGAAACAUGGUUGGAUGAGACACAUGACUGGGCAGUUAACUUAAAUGGGUACACAUUAUUUAGAAAGGAUAGGCAAAACAAGAGUGGUGAGGUAUGUUUGUAUGUCAACCAUGAGUUAAAGUCAAAUCUUAGGCAUGUGGAGUGUGACGGGGAAAAUGUGGGUAGAUAUCAGCUUGGGGCAAACAAAAAAUCAAUUAUUGGUUGGGAUAUGUUAUAAACCACCUAAUGUAAAUAUUAAAUAGGAAGAACAGCUGCUAGAGCAAAUUGGGAAAGCUGCAAAUCUGGGUAACCAGUUAAUUAUUGGAGAUUUUAUUUACCCGGGCAUAAAUUGGGAUAGAGUGACUAGUACUUCCGCAAGGGGAAUCAAGUUUUUGAACAUGUUAAAUGAUACCUUUAUGUCACAACUGGUACAAGCACCAACUAGAAAGGAUGCUUGUCUGGAUCUCGUUAUAACAAACGAUGUUGAUCUUUUGACCAUCAUUCAAGUAGGGGAGCAUUUGGGAAAUAGCGAUCACAAUAUGGUAAUUUUGUUAAAUAAACUCAAAAAAUCAAAAGCAUGUGGGGUAUACUAAAAUGUAUAAUUAUUAGAAAACCCAAUUUCAAUAAUAUUAGGGCAGCUCAACAACAUAUCAACUGGCAUAAACUUCUUAGUGAAAAAAACACUGAGGAUAAAUGGAUGUUCUUCAAACAAAUAUUAGAAAGGUACAUUUCUCAGGAUGUACUAUUAAAUAUAAAAUAAAUAUAAAAGAAACACAUUGAAACCAAUAUGGCUUAGUAGAGAAGUAAAACAAGAGAUUAAAAAUAAGAAAAGGGCAUUUAAAGCAUUUAAAUCGGACAAAUCAGAUGCAUCCUAUAUAAGAUAUAAGAAAGCCAAUAAUGCUUGCAAAAAGGCAAUAAAAGUGGCUAAACUAGAAAAUUAGAAAUGGAUAGCCAAAUAAUGCAAAACCAACCCCCAAUUUUUUUUCAAAUAAAUCAAUUCUUAAAAAACAAAAAUUUAAAGUGUAGGUACACUUGAGACAGAGAUGGGUCUGUUAGUUAAUGAAGACCAGGAAAAGGCAGAAAUUUUAAAAGACUAUUUUUAAUGAGGAUCCCAUGGCAAGAGAUAUGCAAAUGAUUGCUUCAAAAACUUGUGAUUGGAUGAUUCGAGACAAGGUGCUACAGCAGUUAAAGAAAAUUAAUAUAAAUAAAGUUCCAAGGCCUGACAGUAUUCACCCACGAGUACUUAAGGAGCUAAGUGAAAAUAAGUGACCCUCUGUAUUUAAUCUUUCAAGAUUCUUUUGUUUCGGGUAUUGUACCAAAGGAUUGGAGGAAGGCAGAUGUCGUUGCUGUAUUUAAAAAAGGGUUCAAAAUCCUUGCCUGGAAAUUAUAGACCUGCUUACCUUCUGUGACUGGGAAAAUAUUUGAAGGGCUAUUAAGGGAUAAUCAGGAAUUCAUUGGGAAGAACUUUAUUAGCAAUAAUCAGCAUGGUUUUAUGAAACAUAGGUCAUGCCAAACUAACCUAAUUGCAUUCUACAAAGAAGUAAGUAGAAGUAUAGAUCAGGGUGUUUUCAGUGGAUGUGAUCUACUUGGAUUUUGCCAGGGCAUUUGAUACGGUUCCUUACAAUAGAUUAGUCUUCAAACUAAAAGAAAUUGGUCUAGAUGAAUAUUCUUGUUCUUGGGUAGAACAUUGGCUUAAGGAUAUAGUACAACACGUUUUCAUUAAUGGUACAUUUUCAAGCUGGACAAAAGUGGUGUCCCUCAGGGUUCUGUUUUAGGACCACUUCUAUUUAACAUAUUUAUAAAUGAUCUUGAAAUGUGCAUUGAAAGCCAUGUUUUAGUGUUUGCAGAUGACACAGAACUUUGUAAAGUUAUAAAAUGUGAGCAGGAUAUAUCUUUGCUGCAGAGGUAUUUAGAUAGAUUGGGGGACUGAGCACUAAAAUGGCAGAUUAAAUUUAAUGUAGAGAAAUGCAAAGUUAUGCACCUCGGGUUCAAGAAUGCGCAAGCAAUUUACACCCUAAAUGGUAGUGAAUUAGGGACAACCACACACAAGAAGGAUUUGGGAAUCAUUAUAGACAACAAAUUAGGCAGCAAUAUGCAAUGUCAAUCUGCAGUUACUAAUGUCAAUAAGGUCUAGGGAUGAAAAUAUAAUUUUGCCUCUUUAUAAAUUGCUGGUAAGACCACACCUUGAAUAUUCCGUGCAAUUGUGGUCACUUGUUCUAAAGAAGGAUAUCAUGGCACUAGAAAAACUGCAGAGACGAGCUACAAAAUUGAUUAAAGGAAUGGAUAACUUUAGUUAGUUUGGAAAAACAGCGCCUCAGAGGGGAUAUGAUAACAUUAUACAAAUAUAUUCAGGGCCAGUACAAACCAUUAUCUGGAAAUCUAUUCAUAAACAGGGCUAUACGUAGGACAUGAGGUCAUGUAUUUAGACUGGAAGAAAAGAGAUUUAAUCUAAGGCAAAGGAAAGGUUGUUUUUUUUUUUUUUACAGUAAGAACUAUAAGGAUAUGGAAUUCUCUACUUAAAGAUGUGGUUUUAUCAGAGUCUAUACAGAUGUUUAAACAGCAAUUGGAUAAAUACUUCCAAAAACAUAACAUACAGGGAUACAAUUUCUGAUUAGUGGGGUAAUAGCUGCUUGAUCCAAGGAGAUAUCCGACUUCCAUUUUGGGGUUUAAGAAUGAAAUUUUUCCUAGUUUGUUGCAAAAUUUGAAGAGCUUCAGACAGGGUUUUUGCCUUCUUUUGGAUCAACAGCAAAAAACAUAUGUGAGGAAGGCUGAACUUGAUGGACACAAGUCUCUUUUCAGCUAUGUAACUAUUGUCCUCCCACCCCCGCCCAUGGGUGGGGGCCGGGGGUGGACAAGAGGACCCCUCCUUAUUGUCAUUAGGGCCCCCAGACACCACUCAUGGGUGGGGGCCAAAGGGGACCCUCUGUCCCUUAUUUAGUUGAAUAGCCCCCAUGCUCAGGGCACGGGUGGGGACUUGGGGGACAUACUACAUCCCCCCCUCUGCUAGCUAAUAGAUGCCCCACCAUGAGGCCAUUUAUUAGAAGUAAAAAAAUAUAUUUUUACAACUCUGAGCAGCCGCAGGCUGCUAACUGUUUAGUGGGCAUACCCCUACUCGCGGCAUAGCGAGCAGGGGCAUGCACGCCGGUAGCUCCUCCUUGUAAUAAACUAAAGGAACAAACAAACACCAACAUUGUUUGUUUGUUCGUCUGACAUUUCUAUUUAUUUGUCUUCCUGACGAAUGAAUGAAUAGACGAAAUUCCUGUCCGAAUUUCGGACAAUAGCAAAUGCCCAAGUGUUUAACUGGCCAUGCGCAGGAAUUUCAUAGCGCCAUCUAGUGUAGGCAUAAGAUGUGUCCCACAAGGCCUUCAUCUGCUCACACAAAGAUGGCGGCGCCCAGGACCUAGGUCCGUGCAUUAAAUAAAGAUGAAAAAAUAGGUAAUAUGUGGGGAUUAGAGUUAUUUGGGGGUGACUAGGAAGGAAAUUAGAUGUAGUGAAGUUGGGAGGCUGGGUUAAAAAACCCAGAUGUAGCCAUGCCAGUGCUGCUUUAAACAUGAUUAUUAGACCAUAUUCCAUACACGAGAAUGAGAUGGUCCUGAUUAGAUAUACUACUUCCUAGUGUUGGCAACGUUCAUGGCAGAUGAUGUGAGGUAUUCGGAUUAGCAUAAAAAUUCUAUUUUUAAUGGAUCAUUUUUAAAUCUGUUUUAGGUGCAUCACCCCUACAAAUCAGUAAAAACACAGAAAAAAGUUAAUUCUACACUGAAGUACCCCUUUAAUUUAAUGUCUCUGUUUUUUUUUGUUUUUUUUCCUGUUUCUAUAAUAUUUGAAUUUGCCUUUUUGAAAUGGCCACAAUAGGCACAAAGACCACUUAUUCUCAUUGAAAUUGUCAGCAUUCACUCUAACUUUCCCCCUUAGUGCUGCAAUGUAAAACAUAACAGUAUCAGAGAAUGUUUACAUUGCAAUACUAAGAAUAGCUCUAGAGGCUGUGCUGAAGGUCUUCAUACAGUGAAGCGAUGCUGGACAUCCUCAUGCUCUGCAUAAAUGCAUCCAUUGUCAAUGAAAACCCCAUGGGAAAGCAUUAAAGGGACACUGUAGGCAACCAGACCACUUCAGCUCAUUGAAGUGGUCUGGGUGCUGUGUCCCUUUUGCACCUAGUGCUGCAAUGUUAAACAUUGCAGUUCCAGAGAACUGCAAUGUUUACAUUGCAGAUCUAAGUCUGCCCUCUGUGGCUGUCUAUCAGACAGCCACCAGAGGGCUUCCGGAAUCAUAGUGGACUUUUUGUCUGUUAUCUGACGUUGGAUGUCCUCACGCUCUGUAUGAGGACCUUCAGCAUCAGAUUUUUUUUCCCCAUAGGAAAGCAUUGAUUUAAUGCUUUCCUAUGGGGCGGUCUAAUGCGUGCGCGCAUAAUUUGCCGCACAUGCGCAUUAGUCCCUGCUCGUUGCAGAAUGAAGGAGGGGCGGAGCUUCGACCCAGCACAGAGGGACAUCAGCACUGGGAUCAGGUAAGUAAAAUAAGGUGUUUUUUUUUUAACCCUUUAUUUACUGGGUAGAAGGGGGCGCAAGGGAAGGGGCAUGCACAGGGUUCGUGUUUUGUGUUCCUGGCACUGCAGUAUCCCUUUAAGGCAAUACUUUCCUAUGUGGAAGGCCUAAUGCUUGUGCGUUGCUCACCGUACAUGCACAUUAGAUCCCUUCCCCCACAUCAGCUGACAUUAGUGUCCCUUUAAGUACGAUUUAGCAAAGCUUUUCUUUUAGUAAAUCCAGUUGGUAUCUCUACAGCUGGCAAGUUGAUAUUUUUUUCAGUGGUAUGACUGGCGUGUAUAAUUAGCUGUCAUUUUCUGAAAGAGAAAUAUAUUUAUAUGCCCUUGGUUUGUUUUACCAUAAAUGAGAUUUUCACAAUAUGGCAUAGUGAAGAUGUCUGCUUUGCUGUGAGUAUCAUUAGGAACCCAAAUCACAUUCUAGGUACAAUGCAGAACGAGAAAAACAACUUAAACACAAAGUCUGAAAUCUUGUUUGAUUUGUGUUUCUACAGCCAUUGCUAAGGGACAGGUGUUGGCAUGAAUGCUUAACAGCUGAGAGUUUAUUUUAAAUCGGAAGCGGACUGCAUAUUGUGUAUGUGCUGGGGAAACCAACAAGAGAUAAGCAAAUAAAUAACUUGAGUGACUUUGUUGUUAAACAUCACCUCCCUCUUUAACAAUGCUCUUUAGGAAUUCUCUUUGGAAGCAUUUGUAUUAAAGGACCACUAUAGUGCCAGGAAAACAAACUCAUUUUCCUGGCACUAUAGGAUCUUUCGGUCCCCCCACCCUCAGGAUCCCCCUCCCACCGGGCUAUAGGGGGAGGAAGGGGUUAAUCACUUACCUCUCUCUAGCGCCGGGCUCCCUCGGCGCCUGGGAUCUCUCCUCCCUCUUUUGACGUCAGCGCUGAAUGUGCAUGGGCUGCAAGAGCUGCGCGCGCAUUCAAUCAGUCUAUAGGAAAGCAUUUCUCAAAGCUUUCCUAUGGACGUCAGCAUCUUCUUGCCGUGAUUUUCACAGUGAGAAGCGCGGAAGCGCCUCUAGCGGCUGUCAAUGAGACAGCCACAGGAGGCUGGAUUAACCCUAUUGUAAACAUAGCAGUUUCUAUGAAACUAUGUUUACAGCUGCAGGGCUAACCCUAGAUGAACCAGGCACCCAGACCACUUCAUUGAGCUGAAGUGGUCUGGGUGCCUAUAGUGGUUCUUUAAUAUCACUCUUUUUCUUAAUCCAAUUAAUAAAUUAAUUUAGAUGUGUUCAGAAUGUAAAUGACAGGGUGUGCAUUGUGUGUAGUGUGCUGUCUACAAUCACAAUUCUUAUAUGAGGCAGACAGUAAAAUAUUAGGGUCAGAAGAUUUCGGCCUCAAGCCUUCAUCAUGUAUACAGAAUAAAGAACAAGCAAAACAUAUAUACAUGUGGUAAAAUUAUAUUCCUACCCAAACAUCCUAUGACAUCAGAGGAAGAGAAAACAAUGUAACACAUCUGAUGAGAGGCCUCCAGGUGUAUUAGAUUGUUAUGGAAACCAGAAAACCAUGUGAUAACAUAAGGUGUGAAACAAGCAAUAAGGUCAUAAACUCAAAGCAUCUUCCAUCAAUACAGGUAAAAGAGGAAGUGAAGUGUGUUAAAGAAAUGUGCAUAUGGCUGUGAAUACAAAAACUAAGAUUGGGUUGCCAUGGAACUACUAGGAGUUCCCUAUACUAGCUUGAGUGUGGGGUGCUUAAAUGUAUAGUAGAGGCUAAAAUUGUCAAUCCAUGUACUAGGGGUAAUGCAUCCAACCUAUAUGAUAUUAUAAAAACAAUGCCUGAUCCAGAAUGUAGACUAUUGCACGAACUGGACAAAGAGGGCUCAUUGUCAGGGUUGAGGGCCACCAAUCGCUAGUGCGGGACCCACCAAUAAUAAAAGUUUUACUAAUUUCACCACACAGUAAUGCCUUUGGAUUUGGUAUAUUUUAAAUAUUCUAAAGGUCCUGGGUGCAAAACUACAGAUGGAAUUGAAUAUUUUAAAUACGUAAAAUUUAAUUGUGACAUUAUGCUAGCAGAAUUUAUAGAUUUUAUAACACAUUUUUUAAAAAUAUUUUUUAUUUUUCCAGUUCAUAUAAAUUUUACAAGCAUGUCUGAGGUGCCCCGAAAGCAGUCCUCAGGCGUUUUCCUCGCUGAACAUGCGGGACAUAUGAAACGAGAUGGUCACAAUUUUAUAGUAUAGGUAGGCUUAGUUAAUUAGGUCAUUCUUUGAACAAUGCUGUCUAGUCUAGUAUCUGUCGAUUGGGACAUAAGCUGUAUACGUUUAGUUUUAUAGCUUGCACACCUAGCUAAGCAUGGAUAAGGUUGCGCUAUCACGUUUAUGCUUUACAUGUGAGUGACAAUAUGAGUAAAUCUAAUGGUACAGGCUUAAACAGUAAGGAUUAAUAUAUGCUGAGGUAUGCUUAGCAUUAUAUCAAGUGAGGCCAUAAACUGCUCAACAUGGUGCUCACGGUUGUUCACCCUACACCUGAUGCUUGGAGGGUGUUACUGGCGUGAUGGCUCGCGUGCAGAUUUCCCCCUGCGUCCCCCUGCCAGGCCCUUCUCUUGGUGAGCCCCCAUGGGCCGGAUGGUGUAGUGGGGUCUUGGAAUCCCUCUGCGUGGCCUGGUCUCUUGGCUAGCGUGGUGUGCUUGGGGUCCUACUGGGAGCUUAGAGGGGUUACCCUUUGGGUGGGUCGGUACCUGAGGGUACCGCGGCAGUCCGCAUAGCUGGGUGUGUGGCGUCUGUGUGGAGGUUUCCGUCGGAUCACCCGCACGCUCCUCCCCGUGAGUCGGGCUGUUCCAUGGCCCCAUCCAGGUGUUGCUGUCAGCUUUGCUGGCUCUGGUAGGAUCCUUGCAGACUCCCCACAUGUAUCUUUGUGGAGGGCGAGUUUGUCCCAAAAAGCCUCCAGCAGGCGGUCUAUCCUCUCCGCUAGCAGGGUCAGUGUGGUGCUGUCUGCAGGGCCGCACGUGGCGCCCACCAUGUUUUUCCCCGCUGGAGCAGCUGUGCAGGUAGGGCCAGGUCGGCUCCCUGGCAUUGGGUCGUCGCUUGUAGUUGCCGGCAUAACACCCACCGGCAUGGGGGGGCGGGUGGGGAGGUAGGUUUUUCCAGGGGAGACCGCUGUGGUGAAGGGAUCGGCCACCUCCCUCGAGCAGCUUGAUCAGGCCCUCCAUAUGCCUCUGGUCGAUCCCCUGUUAGAGACUAUCGCUUGCUGUCGGCUCGUGUGGUGCUCGCUACUGCUUCGGAAGACCCUUUAGGCUGGGGCUGUUGAGCAGGCAAGUUUGAGGGCUCAUUUCAGCCACUUGUGGGUCUUUGCCUCUGAGCCCAUGUAUUAUGCGACCGCUCGGCAUGGCUGCCAGGCUCUGCCCCAGUAACACAUAUUUUUAAAGAUAUAGCAAAGACAAAUACCUGCAUGCCAUCACUUAGUUGACAGUAGAGCAGGAGAACGCUCCUAGAGGUGGUUCUACUGCUCUCCAUUACAGAAGUAUUUUCUGUGAUAAUUUCCUUAGUGAAUACAUGUCAGAUUGAACUAAUAAAGGAAUGGAGUGAGAGAUGUAGCUUCAAUUUACAUCACUUAAGCAAUUACAUGGGAAAGCGUUUCUAUCGUUAACAAAUGUGUAGAAUAGAUUAUGAAACAUUACUCUGUCUUUUUGAACCUGGCAUUGAGAUUGCACAUACAGCUACUAUAUCUUACAUAGUUAAUUACAUAGGCUGAAAGGAGACUUGUGUCCAUCAAGUUCAGCUUUAUUAACAUUUGUUUUUGCUGUUGAUCCAAAAGAAGUCAAAAAAACAAAACAAAAAAAAAACAGUUUUAAGCACUUGCAAUUUUGCAACAAACUAGGAAAAACAUUCCCUUAUUUAUCCUUGGAACAAGAAGCUGUUGCCCUACAGUUGAAAAUUGGUAUCACUUGUCAUGGUUGAAUAUAUUUAACACCUGUUAUAUGUAAAAUGUAUAUAUGAGUGUGUGUGUAUAUAUAUAUAUAUAUAUAUAUAUAUAUAUAUAUAUAUAUAUAUAUAUAUAUAUAUAUAUAUAUAUAUAUAUAUAUAUAUAUAUAUAUAUAUAUUAUGUAUAUAUAUAUAUAUAUAUAUAUAUAUAUAUGUAUAUAUAUAUAGAGAGAGAGAGAGAGAGAGAGAGAGAGAUUGAUUUGUAUAUUGUAUUUUUUGUAAUAUUAUAUCCUAUUGGAACAAUGCAAUGUUUUCUGGACCCAGGACAUACUUGAAAACAAGAGAAAUCACAAUGUAUCCAACCUGGUAAAAUAUUUUAUAAAUAAAUAUUAUGUUUUUGCAAGUAUGCAACUACACUUUGUUCCAAAUUAUUAUGCAAAUUAUUUUUUCUCAUUUACCUAAAUAAUUGAUGUAAAUAACAGUCAGAAUAAUUCUCAUGUUAUCAUUAGGAGGUUUGUUCAAUACAAUUUAAAUUGUACUCUUAAUAGUUGAUAACAGUAUUUUCUGAAACAUAAAAAACGUACAAUGCACUGUUCCAAAUUAUUAUGCACAGUAAGUUUCAAAACACUUUAUAGGUUGUAAAGAACUGAAAAUUGUCAUUUGUUGUGUUUGCAGCAUAUUUACUGAAAUCAAAAGCUAUUUCAAUCAAACUUAUAACAACAUUUUAACUUUUUAAACAUUUUAACAGGUUACGUUACAUUUUAACAUAGCACCCCUUAUUUGAUAGCAGCUUCACAAGUCUUGCAUCCAUUGAACCUGAGAGUUUUUGGACGGUUUCUGCUUGAAUUUGUUUGCAAGAUGUCAGAAUAGCCUCCCAGAGCUGCUGUUUGGAUGUAAACUGCCUCCCACCCACAUAGAUCUUUUGCUUGAGGAUGCUCCAAAGGUUCUCAAUAGGAUUGAGGUUAGGGGAGGAUGGAGGACACACCAUGACUUUCUCUCCUUUUAUCCCCAUAGCAGCCAUUGAUGCAGAGGUAUUCUUUGCAGCAUGAGAUGGUGCAUGAAGAUGAUUUUAUUACUGAAAGCAUAGUUCUUCCUUCUGUACCAGGGAAGAAAGUGGUCAGUCAGAAACUACACAUACUUUGCAGAGGUCAUCUCUACACCUUCAGGGACCCUAAAGGGGCCGACCAGCUCUCUUCCCAUGAUUCCGGCCCAAAACAUGACUCCACCACCGCCUUGCUGAUGUUGCAGCCUUGUUGGAACAGGGUGGCCGUCCACCAACCAUCCACUACUACAUCCAUCUUGACCAUCUAGGGUUGAACGGCACUCAUCAGUGAAUAGGACUGUUUGAAAAUUAGUCUUUGUGUAUUUUUCUGCCCAAUGCAGCCGUUUCUGCUUGUGAGCAUUGGUUAGUGGUGGUCGACUAGAAGGUUUAUGCACAGUUACAAGACUCUGGAGGACUCUACACCUUGAUGUCUGUGGGACUUCAGAGGCACCAGCAGCUUCAAAUAUCUGUUUGCUGCUAUGUAAUGGUAUUUUAGCAGCUGCUCUCUUGAUCCGAUGCAUGGAUCUGGCAGAAAUCUUCCUCAAUGUGCCUUUAUCUGCACGAACCCGUCUGUGUUCUGAAUCGGCCACAAAUCUCUUAAUAGUGCGAUGAUCAUGCUUAAGUUUUCGUGAAAUAUCUAAUGUUUUCAAACCUCGUCCAAGGCAUUGAACUAUUUUACUCUUCUCGGCAGCAGAGAGAUCCUUUUUCUUCCCCAUAUUGCAUGAAAAUGGUGCUCUGCUUAAUAAUGUGGAACACCCUCCUUUAAUAGUUUUUCCUUAAAUUGGGCUCACCUGGCAAUCUAAUUAUCACAGGUGUCCGAGAUUGUCUUCAGUGAUCAAAAGAGCCCUGAGACACAAUGCCAUCCAUGAGUUAAACUGAAAAACAAAAUAUUUAAUCUUUGUGACACUUAAAUCUAAUUUGCAUAAUAAUUUGGAACAGGGUGUAGUUGCUGUUUAAACAUCUGUGCAGAUUCUGAUAAAACUACUUCUUCAUGCAGCGAUUUCCAAAUCCUUAAUGUUUUUACGAUAAAAAAAAACAUUUCUUUGCCUUAGAUGAAAUCUUGUCUCUUUUAGUCUAAACACAUGACCUUGUGUCCUAUGUAUAGUCCCGUUUGUGAAUAGAUUUCCAGACAAAAAAAGAUGAGAGGCAUGUAUUUGUUCUAAUUCUCUCAUGAUUUGUGUCUAUAAUCCAUCUAUGUUGUGAAGAAUCAACAAUAUAUUCCAUAGACUGUGCAACUGCUGAUUAUAUUUAAAGCAUUUUAAGAACUAUAUAUGUUGCAAUGCAAUAUAACACAUAUUUGUAAAACAUGCAGAGUGUGAAUUGUCUGGGAUUAAAAGUGAAUUUCUAAUGUUAGGCAUAAAUAGGUGAUCUGGAAGAAUUCUCCAAUAAAGCUUUCAUCACAUCUUUUUUUCUAGUGUAAAGUUUGCAAUUUGGUUUUCAAUUCAUUGCAGUUCAGAAUUCAGUCUCAUGAAUCAGCCCCACAUAUACUCCACUCCAUAAACGCUGCAUGCCUAGCCCUGCGUAUCAACACGACGAUCUAGAAACAUACUUUGCAUCUACCUUAUUAUAAGCAACCACAAACACUAUGCAAAUUGCUGGCUUGGAGUCAGCAGACUAGAUAGUAUUUAGAAGUUAAUAGUCCAUUUAAUUGAAUAAGAAUGUGUGUAGUUUUUUUUUUCUCUAUUGACAUCCGCUAGAUUUUGCAUUUCAUGUUUAUAUAUUUUGCAAAAAGCUCUUCCGUUUAUGAGUUGCUUGUAGCCAAUUAGGUAGUUCACGGACUGUUGGAUAGAACUGCAUGCCUGCAUCUAGCAUAAAGAUGGCGGGUGUUCUGUUAGAUCCGGAUAUCUACAUUUAGUUUAGUUACUAGUGUUUGGUGAUUAUGGUACAGUAUUGCCUUCCUUGUCAGAGACACCAUCAGGCCUAAUAUUGAUGGAUCUAAUUGGAACCCAGUGUAUCCCAGACCUCCUGUGCAUUUGCUCUAGUGCUAAAUGAUAACUAAUUGAAUUGGGGAAAGCAGUUUGAGGGUUGACAGAGGACUCUAAUUAGGUUUAAAGCACCCUUAUGAAGGCUUGUUACCUUUAUAAUGAGUUAUUAUAUAUGAAACGUAUAGGAGGUUGGUAUGUACUCUGGUGAAUUGGUUGCCCCAGAGAAAUUGAACCGCUUGUUGUGCAACAAGGAUGGUUCUAUUUAUGAAAUGCUUGCAAUGUUUUGUGUUCUUAUUUGUUCCGAUUGCCUAGGGCUACACAAUAACAAGGGCUUUUAUAAAUUCAGAACAGCAGAGAAGACAUAUGGACAAUAAAUAAUGCAAAGCUGUCUGUUUUUGCUGCGUUUUACUUAUACACCUGCAGUACCAAAUAAGCUUGGGAAUAAGAUUUCAGUGCAUUCUCCAGUGAAUAAAUGUUUGAUACUUGUCUGAUCCUUACUGAUAUCCUGAGCAUUGCUUUUUCAGUGAGAUAUGCUUUCUAUUUACUUGUAGAUUUGUUUAUUUUUAUGUUAAUAUGCUGGAAUGUGUAACCUUAUGGUUCCCCGUAUUGCUGGAAGCAUUUCUAAACGGAUUACAAGAUAAUAAUUCCUUUCCAAUAAAUGCAGAAUGCUGUGCUGUUCAGUUUUUCUAAUUUUUAAGAUGGAUUCUUAAAAAAUGUAGACAAAAUACACACACAUAUAGAUUAUUGGCAAAAUAACCAAAAAGUUAGUGAUUUUAUAAUACCAAGAUGGCAUUAUUAUUAUUUUAUUAUAAGCAUUUUUUUUGUUUUAGGCCAGGGUUUCUUUAAAGGGGAACUGUUACUUCUCUGGAAUUUAUACUAAAAAAAAAAAAAAUGAAAAUCGACCAUAACUUGUGUUAACAUUUUUUCAUCUGUUUUUUUUUCUUUUAAAUUUUUACUAAAGAUUUAACAAAGUACAUCGUAAUUCAUCUCAGAUAAGACAAAGCCAGAGCAAAUAUUUCAUAUGAAAGGAAGACAUUCAAACCUUCAGGGUAAUUUACUAAAGUGAGAAUUCAAAGUGAGUUCCAAGUUUAGGCCGGAUUAGCCAAACUGGAAGCCUAGCUGAUUUAUUCUCUCAAUGCUUUCUCUAAGCUGACUUCCAGGUGCAAAAAACAAAACUUGUUACAAUGACUGACAAGGAUCCAGUGGUGGAGCUACCAGGGUUGCAUCAGUCAAUAUUCCAAUCGGGUCCUGGAGUUAAGUCUGUUCAGGUGAAUGCUGGUCACGUUGGGGGACCCAUUACGGUUAUUUAGUAUAUUGUCAAUUGGCAAUAUACUAAAUAAUGCUUACGUUACCGACAGUAGUUGAGGGUGGUGAUACCAAUACUGAGAGCGCUGUAUUUCUGUCCUGAUCGAUCUCCUUACUAGUCUCGUCUUCCGAUGGUCCUCUGCCCAGUCUUGUGGAGCAGAAGAUGCACACGUAGUGUGUGGUGUCUGCUCUUGGCCUACACUCAUCAAGGAGACUGGGCAGGGGAGGAGCACAGCGCAAUGGCGCCGAGAUCUAGGGGCUACAAGUGCAGGACCCAACGGUUUUCUGUCUUCUCUUCCUAUUCUGUAUGUGACAUGGAUGGAGAGGCUAUUUUUUUUAAGCAUGCCUGUGUGUGUGUGUGUGUGUGUGUGUGUGCGCGCAACUGCUGUGUGUAUGCCUGUGCCUGUGUGUAAGCCUUUGCCUGGAUAUAUGUAUGCUUAUCUGUGCUUGUUUGUGCAUGUCUGUCUGUUAAUGCAUGUGUCUGUUUGUAUGUGCUUGCCUGUAUAUGUCUGCCUGUGUAUAUGUCUAUGCCUGUGUCUGUCCCUGUGUGUGCCUACUUGGGUGUGUGUACAUCUGUGUCUGUUUUGUAAUUAUAAUUCCUAACUAUUACUACACACAGAACCCCCACACACUCACAUUCAGCUAGUUCCACAAUACACACAAUCACGAUCAGCCAACCACACACAGCCCACUACCACACACAAUCAUAUUCGGCCAAACCCUCGCAUAAUCACAUACUGAACUACAAUUGAACAUCAACAAUAAACUGUACCCGCUUCAGGUGCAAAUCAAACUCCAUCACCUAAUUGGUACUUACAGGACCAUGGAGCUGCAGAGUGCAUACCUCCCAAUUCCGGUGCCUUGUGAAUCUGGAUGCCUGUGUAAAGGGGCAAUGGGGUGGGCCAGUGAGACAAUCAUAUCACUGACACCGCUGAAUUGGGCUGCCUGCCAAGAAGGGAUACAGGUCCACUCAAAGUAUUGUCAGGUUAGCCUGGUGUGAAUGCAUACCAGGUUGGCUGUCCAUCAUUUAAGCUGGCCCAUUGAGGGUUGAUCAUGCAGGAAGCACUGUUUUAUUGCUCUCUACAGGGUCCUAAUGCCCUGAGCAUAGCACGAGCAUAUCUAAUGAUGACCUUGCACUAUGCAUGUUGGGGACAGCUAUGUGGUUUCCCCAAAAGUGUGACACCAUGAAACUAGGUCAGGACAGUGGAACAGGACCCCAAAAAUCUGGAAUAUUCCACUGAAAUUGGAAUAGUCAUGAGGCCAAAGAGUUCCCCCUUAGAGUCGACAUUCUCACAAAUGAAUUCCUAAUUCACUGUAUAGUAUGACUGAGUGCCCAUGAGCAGAUAACUGGGUGGUAUGCAUUAAAAGUUAGCAUGGCACCACACCUUUCAUUAGCCACAAACUCCGUCUUAAUUAUUCCAUAUAUUUACAAGUUGGAAGGUAUGUUGAAAGAUGUGCUUCCAAAUUCCAUACACAAUAAUAAAUAAUAAAACAAAUUAGCAUUGUGUGUUUGUGUAUACACACAUAUUGUAUGUGACAUCAUGUACAAACAUAUCAUAGGGCUCCAUGCCAACCUUCUCUAUCUGUACAGAUGGGGUAUAAUUUGAGCUCCCUUUUCCUACCACACUCUUAAGCAGUAACUCUAGGUAAAACUUGAUGUCUGCAUGUAAGUAGCCAGAGACGGGGAUAUAGGAAGUCUUUGAGUGUAAUCAAUAUGUCAGACUGCAAUAUCAGUUUGAAUUUUCCAGUGUAAUGCAGGUGCUUGAUGUAACUUUACUUACAGAAACAUAUUUUCCCAUUCUAGUGACAGUAAUAGGAAAACCAAAAAAAUUCAGAGAAAUGCAACCAUUAGCGAGACAUUUGACCACUUGUAUUUAUCCUAUUUUGCCACACCUAUUUUAUGCUACAUCCCAACAUUAAUGUUGUACAAUAAGGAAAACCAUAUAAUCUCUAAUUUUUAAUCACUUCAAUAUUUUUGAGAAGGAUGAACAAAUAAAUGAAAAAUAAAAUUUGCAUAAAUGUAUAUGUUUAUCUCCGCAAUCUAUUCAGUAAAUGGCUGGCUCUAUAUCCCAUGGUUCAAAUUCAGUGUUAUGCUUUUUUCUUUCCUUUAUAUGAACCGAAGAGAUUAACCCUUAAAGCACCUUUAGGGAAAGUUAAGAUUGCAGUCAUAUCAUCAACUAUAUCUAAUCAUGUAUAACGUGUGUGAGAUAUACAAAUGGUUGAAGGAGAGCACUCUAUUAGACAUAUUAAAAGGUUUAAGAAUUCUACCAUACUCUAACUAUGUUGGUCUUGUUUGAAGCUGUUUGUAAAGGUUUCCUCGAUUAGUUGCAUUUGCUAGUUUAGUUAUCCCAUUGUGCUAAUUAGUGUGGUGAUGAAUGAUUUGCCAGUGUGAUAAGAUUUCAUAGAUGAAAAUGUCCUUUAUUCCUGCAGGAGAUAAGAAAGAACUGUAUCCGGAGCUUUGAAUAGAACGUGUAGCAGUUAGAUGCUGAAAUAGAGGUUGAUGAGGACCCCAGAGGGGCUAUUACGGGAUCCUUGAUUAGCUCACCAUUUUUAUGUUAUUAUAGAGUCACACAAAAAGCAGUGUUGGAAAGCCAUUGUCCGGAGCAUCAAUGUAGAUGAAACAUUAUACUAUUGAUAGCCUUUGUAAGUGAAGCAGAAGUAAAGAAUAGAUUACUUGCACAACCCUGUGUUUAGGAGCUUCUUUAACAUGAUACAUUUUCAUUUCUCUUUCUCUUCUUUAGUUCCAUAUCCAUUUACAGACCGAAGGAGAAUCCAAAUGUAUUUGAUGCUGCAGCAUUCUUCCAGUCUGUGGGCAAUUUCCUGGGGAUUUUUGCUGGUUCGUUUGCAAUGGG
rnacentral:lncRNA from 1 species